rnacentral:lncRNA from 1 species
UUUUACCCUUGGACUAAGUUAGUGGGAAAAUCCAACAUUUUGUUGGAUAAUCCCACUAACUCUUAGUGGGAUAUGUGGCUAUAUGAGAUAUAGACACCUAGCCCACUAAGUUCCACUAAUUGUUAGUGGAAAAUUAGGUGUUGAGAUUUGGCAAAUGAAUUGCAUGCAUUUUUGCAUGUAAUUAGGCUAUAAAUAGAGAUGUUUUCAAAUGUUGAAGGACUUUUGCCUCUUUUAUCAUUUUCAUAAUCUCAACAAAAGAAAAAAGAAAGCUUCCAAUCUCAUUUUAUCUCCAUUACUUUCUACACCAAAAUUGGGUCCCACAACCCGGUUCUUUGUCUAGAGGAUAACAGUUGAGUACUAGUGGUGGUCUCGGGAAGAAUUGGUAAGAAGACAUCAAACCUUUUGUAAGCUUCAAAGGUAAUACUUCUUAAAACCCUAAUUUGAUUAGUUUAUGGUUACAUGUUAAUUGUGGCAAUUAUGGUAGAAAUUCGAUUCUUUUUCCGCUGUGCAUGACUUAGUUCUAUCAUUAAUAGCUAGUUUAUUUCUUUGAUAUGUUUGAGAAUGAUAUUCCAUAUGUAUAUUUGAUGAGCAUAUACUAUAAUAUUCCGUAUAGUAUUUGACAAAUUUAUGUUAUAGUAAUGAGGUGCUAUUGUGAUAGAGUUAUGCGUGACUUACGUCAUGAAUUGUCACAUAAUUUGGUUAUUAAUUUCAUGAAAUUGAAAGUAUUACUAUUACUUGUAAUCAACUUUUGUCGAUCAGAUUCAUAAAUAUAAGAUUUGUUUCAAAUUUCAUAUGUAGUGAAAAUAUUUUGGCUGGUAACAUUCUACCAUUUUAAUGUUUUUCUUGGGUUGAUUUGUAUUAUGAAUUUGGUUUUCCUAUGGUUUAAGGCUCAACAAUGUUUCGAAGUUUUUUUUGUAUAUGACAUGAGAAUUUGGCAAUUUUAUUUCAUAGCUAUAUUUAGUAUGAUAUUUAAUAUAUGUUUGAUAAGUUUAUGUAAAUUUACUCAUUCAUUUUUUAGAACCAUUUGCACAAUUGCAACUAAGAAACACUACUUGAUGCUCUAUGGUCUAUGUUAUAUACUCAAUACUAGAUACUAGCUACUCGAUGUUCAAUGCUCAUUAGUUGAUGCUCUACGUUUUAUUUAUGUUAUGUAUCUUAUCACUAAAUGUUUGAUACUUAAAGAAAUACAAGAAAAAAAAUUAGAAAUUAAAAAGAAAAAGAAAAAGGAGUAUAAAAAUGAAAGGAGUGAAAAAAAAUUCAAAGAAAGGAUGAAGUAGAAGAAGAAGAAAGAAAAAAAAGAAAAAAAAUUGUAAAUCGUAAAACAAAGAAAAGAGAAGAAGAAAGCAUGUUGGGUGUGUUUGGGGGAGGGAAAGAUUUAUGGGGGAAAAGAAUUAUGAUAAUCCUAUGAUUAUAAUAAUCUUAGUGUUAUGAUAAUAUGUGUUUGUAGUUAGGGUUAUUAUUAGUAGUGUUAUGGUAAUAUGUGUUUGGAGGAAGGAAUAUGAAUGGUAGUAUUAUGUUAGUAUCUAUUUGAGAGAAGGAUUCUUGUUGCAGUAUUAUGAUAAUAUUUGUUUGGGGGAAGAGUUAUGAUUGUACUAUUAUGAUAAUAUGCAUUUGGGGGAGGAUUAUAUAUUUUUUAUAAUUUGUUUUUAUAAAAUAAAGAAUAUUAAAAUACGUAUUUAUUAUUUAUAAUAAAUCAUAUUAUUUUGUUAAAAUAAACAAAAUUAAUAUAUGUAAUUAUAAUACAUCAUAUAAUUUUUUUCAACACAAUUUGCAAUUUUUUGUUAUAGGUCUGAGAUUAGUGAAAAUUUUGUUUUAUAAAGAGCUUAGCGUGAAGGGCCUUUAAUUUUUUUUUUUCCAACCGUGCACAAGUAACGCCUAAAUUAGUUAGAGUAUUGAAAUAAAAGUGAUGCGCUGAAUGAAAUUAGAAAAAACAAAUUCAAUACGUAUGGUCGUUAACAUAAUAGUGAAAUCACAUUACAUUGAUAAAAAUACGAAAAAACAUACAGUACGCAGAUUAAAAAAAACAUACAUAUAAGAUAAUGAAAGAUAAAGCAAACAAAGUCAAGGGUUUUCUUUGAGAAUGACACUGCAAAAUGAGAAUUUCAUUUCUUCAGGUAUAUUAAGGGAUAAUUUCAUAUGGCAUGUAACUAGCAAAUGACCUCUUGUCGUGUUGUGCUCGCAUCUUGCAACUGACCAGUCCGCAAUGCGGUUUAGUUGUUCAUUCCCGUACUGAAUUGUGUUGUGAACUACGUCUCCAGUUUCUACAGACUCUCCUCCAAGUUUCCGAUUAGACCCACUAGAAACAUUUCUAUGUCACUUCCGCGAGCGAUUCAUGUGUUCAUUACUUUGCCAGGUGACAUGUCUAGUCCCUAACUGUACAUUGUAUGGAACCCUAUAUCGUUGACAUCGUCAACAGAAAAUUCCUCACAACCUCUAGGCACAUUCGAACCGACAUUGACAAAGGUCUCCACACGCAUGCCCGUUGCAUGACCUAUGCCAAAGACAUAGGAAAGCUCUUCAUAGUGGGGAAACUAUCUAUGUAAGAGGUCCUUUGCGGCCGGAUGACUUUGUUCAAGUACAAAAUACAAAAAACAUUAUUAGUAUUAUUGUUGCUUAUACUACAAUAACAGAUGAUAUAAAUAAGAUCGUACCUUCACCCAAUCGUCUAACACAUCCUUCCUCGUAAUGAUGCACUUUAGUUCAUCAUUCCACCCAAAGUCGCUACGGGACGGGCCACGCAUCUUUGCUAGAGCGUGGAACGUUCUCUUAAGCAAUUAUAUGCGACUAUCAAUAAUUGUUACCUGGAUGUUACGUCCUCAUUUUUGUGACAAAUGAAAGUGAUAGUCAAACAUGAUGGUUGAAGACCUAAUACAAAAUAAAGGCAAUUAGGUAUGCAACAAAAGACUCUGCACAAGUACACAAUGAACAUCAAACUAUGGACCUAAGUAGAGAGGUACGUGGAAACAUAAGAAAUCAGAACAAACAAAUGGGAGUAUGUGGAAAAAUAAUGAAUCAAAACAAACAGAGGCUAUUACAAAAAAUAAUGAAUCAGAACAAACAUAAAAAGAAAAAAUAGAAAACAUAGUUCAGAAGCAAAAAUCCAUUAAAAAUUGAAGAGGUGAACACAGAAACAUUUUUUCUUUUCCUUUCAAAUUGUAUAGAUGGAAGUAAGAUACGAACAAGGUAUCAAACAAACCAAUCUGAAGACAUACAUGAAGAUAACAUCCAUCAAUAUUUAGUGGAGGGACGGGGGUGGGCGAAACCAAAUGCUAUAAAUUAGAACGAACAAAAUAAGUAUGGAACGAGUAUUUAAAGAACUUAUAAAUCGAGAAAAAAAUAUAUGAUCUUAUAAAACGAGAUAAAUUAUAUGAAAACAAAAUAAAAAGAAGCAAGGAUGAGAAGAUUACUGCAAAUGUGAAAAAUGGAAGCACCAAUGCUACAAAAAUUAAUGCAAAUUUUCAAGAAGAAAAGAGAAUAGGUACAAAUUAUUUUUGUGUUCAUCAUUGGCUACACAUACCUUUUCAAAGAAGCGGUCACCCCUACCAUGCUCCGCCGAUGGUCCUACCAGACUCUUUUGUUCAACGCAUGGUACUUGGGUGUAGCAUCUGUCACUUGAAGCACUGUUGGGUGGAAACGAACAAGUGACAAUGUCAAUAUCAGAGCGACAAGGCACCGUCGAAACAACAAGGGGAAAUCUGACACUUAUGUGUUAGAAUAAAGACCUUAAUCGAAACAUAGAGAGGAUGGAUUUGGUUUCAGAGGCAACGCACGUGAGCGGCAACCCAUCAGCGAAACCACAGGGACGAAACUUUUUUCGUUUCAGAGGCAACAAGCAAAUGCAUCCAUCAACGAAAGAGAAGUUUGGUUUCAAUGAAGGGGAAAAGAAAACAGGGACAUAAACGAAAUGAUGAACAUUUAUGGGAAAAUAACAAUAUGGAUGUAGAUUUGAAGAGAAAAAUAGAAAAACUCAUUCAAUUGUAUAUUUUAGGAAGAGAAAAUGAAAAUGAAAUGGAAAAGGACAAAGAUUACAUCAUAAUGGAAAAGGAAAUCUGACAGAAUAUGAAAGGUUGAAGGGAAAAUCGAGAGGAUUACAACAGGAAUAUAAAAGGUUGAGAGAGAGUUACGAAGGUUAUAGAGGGAAAGAGAGGGAAUACCCAUUAUGAUCAAACGAGGUCCAAACAAGGAUUUGACUUUUGACCCAAUCCUGAUCCCCAUAUUUCCCAUCUUAAACACACCCUUAAGGUUAAAGUGAUAAUUUUACACUAUGAUGAUAAGCACAAUGCCACUUUUAUUGGUGUAAAUUUUCCUUUUUUUUUUUUUUUUUUUUUUUGAAAAAUUGCAUAAAUUAACCCUUUAAAAAAAGGAAAAUUGUAAAAAAUGAUAAAAUUAACAAAAUAUUUACAAAACAUAACAAAAUUUUAUAUUCAAUCAAUAAUAAGACACAAGCUCAAUGUCUAUCAUUGGUUGAAUUUGUAAUUUUACUAUAUUUUGAUUCAUUUGGUUAUAUUUGAAAAUGUCAAAAAAUUUAGUUGAUGGUAAUCCCUUCUUAAAAAUAUAUUUGUUUUAGAAAAGAAAAAAGAAUUAUUUUUAAUCUAAACAGUAUUUUGGUGACAAAAUUAACAUUUUUUUUUAAAAAAAUAUUUUUCUAACAUUUUUUUUUUUUGUAAUUUGAACAAUGCCGUAAGAUGAAAAUAUCAUUUUAUCUGUCAUUUAUAAGGCAAAAAUCUUGUGAGGUCAAAUUCCCACAUGGUCCUAACUAAGAUCACGUCGAAAAAUCUCCUGUUUUGAUCUAAGACUUUUUAAAGAAAAAAUCGUUAGUUUAACUAGAAACUUUAUUAGAGUCCUCGAUCGAAGAUGCAAACCUCAAUUAGUGUUAUAAUAUAUGUAUAUAAUGUAUAUAUAUGUAUAUGUAUAUAAUGUAUAUAUAUGUAUAUGUAUAUAAUGUAUAUAUAUGUAUAUGUAUAUAAUGUAUAUAUAUAUGUAUGUAUAUAAUGUAUAUAUAUGUAUAUGUAUAUAAUGUAUAUAUAUAUGUAUAUAAUGUAUAUAUAUGUUUCUACAAUAUUGGAGAAAAUCUAAGAAAAUGGAAUAGUCCAAAACCCAAGUCCAUGCUCAAACUCAAAUCUUCUCUUCCAUCUCAUCAUGUCCUUCACUCCAACAAACUCACAACCAUAACCAUAGUUCCAGAUUCUCAUCUCUUCAUUUCUUUCUUUACUCAACUACCACUAACACCUAUCAGAAGUAGUCGACGUCGUUACUAUCGAGCUUAGGUUCUAUCGUCCAGUUUAACUUUUGUCGCCAAUGACUUUGUCCUCGUCGAGAAAUAAUAUAUUUUUUCUUCUUUAGAAUUGGUCCAAACCUAUGAUAGCCAUUUUUCACUUCAUUUUUGUACAUAGAAUCUUAAGAAUUAAUGUUUGGACUUAUACUUUAAUCUUUUUAUAUUACAAAUAAGAUAGAGAAAUUGAAAUUUUAGAAUGAGAAAGAGGGCUUAGGGAUUUUGCAUGGCGAGAAUUAAUUAAGGAAUCAGGGAAUGAGUCCACACAGGGACCCAUCCCCUCAAUUGACCAACUCUAUUAAAAGAACCACACAAUUUCUAAAAAUUGCCCAACUUGACUCAAAAACCAAAAGUCUAUCUAAUAUGGACCUUUAUUUGAAAAUAUGUUUGUUCUUUUUUACCAUUUUCAUAGGUGAAAUACCAAUUUUAACUUUAAUGUUAAAUGCUUUUGUUAUCUCGUUAAUUUGAAUGUGUUGGAACGCCUAGAUGGAGUAUUACACUAAGAAGAAGUAACGCUUAUACAACUCGCGUGCUAACUCGCCUUGUAUUUCGACUGGUAGAAUUUGUAUCUUGCAUUGUCUAAACAGAAUGCUACUAGUCACUUGUUGUCUCACCUUUCAGUAUCAUUUGGUUAAUAACUUGAGUCUUGAUCAAAUUGCUUAUAGAUCAGCUUGCAUGGUCAAGUUUUCGUGACAAAAAUGCCUAAUACAAAACAAAAGCUAGUUAAGAAAAGAAAACUGAGUUGUGGAUCUCGCUUUCUUUAAGUUGUUUCGUGGCUCUACUCCUUUGUGCAAACAAAUUUGUAUAGCCUUGUCGUCUCCAAGAUAAAAUAGUCGUGUUCUUCAAUCAGAAGUGUACUGAAAACUAAUUGGAAUACCAACACUCAAAUAGACACACUUUUUGCUUGAAAAACUCAAAGAAAGGAAGUAAGAAUUUGUGGUUUUUCUCAUAUCUUAAAAUGAAGAAGGAAAAGUGUUUAUAUAGUGGAGGAGGCUAAAAGAGACAAUGGUAAUUAAAUAGGAAAUUUUAAUUAUGGAAACAGUUGUAAUUAAGGGAGGAUAACGUUGGAAAUUAAAUAUAAAACGGAAUUAAAACGUUUGACUCUUUUAUGAUGCGAAACAAUCAUAAAGAUUUUGUAUUAAAGAGACAACGGUAAUAUCAUUAUUACAUCUCAUCUUCUCUAGCCAUCUCACCUAGGAUGGCAACUAAUGUGUGAAGAUUAGAAAUCUAAUCUUCCAGACAUCUCACCUUGGAUGACAACACACAAUUUAUUUGCUUGUCUUCUCUCAUUUCCAAACUCACAAUUGGAUGAGUAUUUUGUAAUGAAGACAUUUUCAAAAGUUUUCAUCAACAAUCUCCCACUUGAAAAUUUUUUACUGCUAAUUUUCCACUUGAAAAUUUUCAAAACAUUUUCAUAGAGUAGUGUCUAUUUGUAUAAUAUUGUGCUUAAGUAAAGGUAUCGAAGGACUUGAACCUUUACGUAGUAACAACAAUUUAGAGUAUUGUAAAGUAACUUGCACUCAUAGCAUUAUUCAAGUUGUCACCACGUGCCCGAGACGAUGCGGAGCGGCCAACGUCCUCAAAAGAGUUAGUUUUAAAAGAAAAUAGGAGUCGUCACCAAUCUUUUUUACGGUGUGAUUGGACAUCGAAAUAAAGUAAACAAUUUUAAAAAAAUAGUAUGCAAAAAAUAGAAUUGAGUUCGGGAGUCAUUUGUGUGUGGGGAAUGUAUUAGCACCCCACAACACUCAUUUAGAAAAACGGUGGCUAAAUUUAAGAUAUUAAAUUGAAAAUAUUUUUUAAUUUAUUUUAAAACUAAUGUCUUAUUUUACCCAAUAUUUGAAGCAAUGAUCUCAUAGAAUAAGUGAAAUAAUAUUUCAUUAAUUAGACUAUAUAUUGAGAAAAGUUUCUCACCUUAAGAAAAUGAGAAAUUAUUACAAUUUCUCAAAAUCUAUUAUAGACUAGUUUUCGAAUAAAGUUUUUUUAAAAAAACACAUUGAUUAAAUUCAUUUUUUCUUUGGAUCAUAUUUUGGACUUCCAAAGAUGUGAUUCCUCACCUCAACAAUUCUAGAAAAUUGGAAUUUCAAAUUUUCUAGAAUCCGUCGUAGGAUUUUGUUUAAGGAAAAUUGUAUAAGUUUUUUUAGAAAAUACUGAUUUAGGAAACCUUAUGAAAUCAUAGGUUAAUUUUGAAGGUUUUAGAAAACAUAAAACAUUUAUAACAUUAGAGACAAAUUUACUAACCGAUUAAAAAUAAAGUAUUUAUUUUAAAACAUUAAAUAAUUUAAAAGAAAGAUUUUAAAACAUUAAAUAAUUUUAAUACAAAGAGUUACAUUUAACUGCAUAUAACAAAAUAAUUAUGAUAGUAAUGUGAAUAAGUAAAAAAAACAUAAUAACAAUAAAUAAAUAAGGAAAGAAACAAAAAAAAAAAAAGAAUAAAGAAAGAAAAAGGAUUUUUUUAAAAAAUAAUGUCUUUUGUAAAAGUAUUUACAAAAAUAGGGUAGUUGGGAAAGUAUUUUCAAAAAUAGGUGACUGAAGUCGCGUACGGGGUACACGACUUCCAUAAAUCGAUUUGGUGUCGUGGACCGGGCUUACGAUAUCCCAGUGGAGUCGUGGACCCGGCCCACGUUUUCUGACUGGAGUCGUGUACCGGGUACACGACUCCCGUACAGCUGGCACAUUUUGCCGCGUAUGGUGGAAGUCGUGUACCCCGUACACGACUUCCGUACAAUGAGUCAACGGUCAACAGUCCAGUCAACCGUAGGGUUCACGGGUGGACGUAGGAUUCAGAGGGUGUGGACACGUGUCGCACAUGCAGGAAGUCGUGUACGGAGUACACGACUUCGCCUAUUUUAAAAACCCUAGAAUUCCCUCAUUCUGCCUUCAUUCCAAACAUUUAUUCCUUCCUCUCUAAAUUUUUCCUCUUUCUCUUUUUCGUUCUUCCUUCCUCUUUCCUUUCCUCUUCCUUCAUCUUUCCUUUCCUAUUCCUUCAUAUUUCCUCUUCCUUCAUCUAGUUUUUUCUCUCUUCAUCUUUCAUCUUUCCUCUUUCUAACCCAUUCUUCAUCCCAACUUCAUCUUUCCUUUCCCCCUCUUCAUCUUUUCUCUUCCUAUUUCAUUCUUCCUUCCAACUUCAAAUUUUCUCUUCCUCUCUUCACUUUUCUUCUUCUAUUUCGUCAUAAAGGUAUGUUUUUCUAAAAAUCGUGGAUGUGGUAUACGAUUUUGUUGUUAAAAUUAUUUUAUUUUAUUAUUAUGUUGAUAAAAUAAUUUAUUUUUUGUUGUAGGCUUCUCCUAUCCUCCAUUGUCUCCUAUCCUCCAUUGUCUCAUUCAUCUUCACAAGGUAUGUUUAUUCUAACCCUAAUUUUAUUUAGAUUUGUUAUUUUAUUUUCUUAUUUUGUGGAAAGAAAUCGUUUGAAUUUAGUUAUAUUUUUUUGAAUUUAGUUAUGUUUUUUUGAAUUUAGUUAUGUUUUUUGAAUUUAGUUAUAUUUUUGAAUUUAGUUAUAUCUUUGAAUUUAGUUAUAUCUUUGAAUUUAGAUAUAUCUUUGAAUUUAGAUAUAUCUUUUGAAUUUAGAUAUAUCUUUUGAAUUUUGUUAUAUGCCUUGAAUUUUGUUAUAUUUUUUUUGAAUUUUGUUAUUUUUUAACCUUAUUAAUAAUAAUAUUAAAAUUAUUUUAUUAUUAUUAAAAAUAAUCAUUAUUAAUAAAAAUCAAAAACUAACCUAAUUAAUGUUAAAUGUACUUUUUUUUUCUUUCCCGAUUGAGUUGACUAAUAAUAAUAAUAAUAAUAAUCAUAAUAAAAUUAUUAUUAUUAUUAUUAAAAAUAAUUAUUAUUAAUAAAAAUCAAAACCUAACCUAAUUAAUGUUAAAUGUACUUUUUUCUUUCCCGAUUGAUUUGACUAAUAAUAAUAAUAAUUAUUUAUUAUUAUUAAAAAUAAUAAUUAUUAAUAAAAAUCAAAACCUAACCUAAUUAAUGUUAAAUGUACUUUUUUUCUUUCCCGAUUGAUUUGACUAAUAAUAAUAAUAAUCAUAAUAAAAUAAUAAAAAUAAUCCUGAUUUGACUAAUAAUAAUAAUGAUUUGACUAAUAAUAAAAAAAAUAAUAGUAAAAAAUAAUAAUGAUUUGACUAAUAAUAAUAAUAAUAAAUAGAUACAUUAAACUGAUGAUCGUUUUUGUAUUUAACAGCUAAUUAAAUAUGUCGUUGCGACCUGAAGAUUUAGUUAUUCUUGAACCUGGUAAUGAUGGAGAUAGUGAUAUAGAUGUAGAAAUCGAUGAACUAUUUGGUAAUGAAGAAAAUAUAGAGGAAGAGAAUGAAAUGAUCCCGUCCGAUAUAUUUACACAAAUAGAUUGGGACAUUGCGAAUUCUGUUUGUGAACAAGGUUGUACAUUGACAGAUAGAAAUGUAUAUGUUGACACAUCUUGUUUAAUACAGAAGGGAAUGAUAUUUGACUCUAAGGAAGAUCUUAUGUUGGCUGUUAAGAGGUAUUGUGUGACACAACACUAUGAAAUUGUUGUAGUUGAAUCAAACCAACAUUUGUGGAAUAUUCGAUGCAAACAGUGGAGAAAUGGCUGCAACUGGAGGUUACGUGCUACGAAGCGUAAGAGCCACAGAUUGUUUGAAAUAACUAAGCUCCAAGGAGAGCACUCGUGUCUGUACUCAAAUCUAACACAAGAUCACUCACAGUUAGAUUCAAAUUUCAUGAGUGUUCAAAUUCAAAACAUGGUGAAAGCUGAUCCUACUAUUACUGUGUCUGUGCUUGUUGAAAUCAUAAAACAACAAUACGGUUACAGUGUUAAGUAUGGACGAGUUUGGCAGGCGAAGAAAAAAGCUUUGAUAACAGUUUUUGGUGAUUGGGAGAAAUCAUAUAAUGAGCUUCCAUACUGGUUGAGUGUUGUUGUACAUUAUAAUCCGGGAACUCGAGUUGAUUGGUUUUUUCUUCCAUUCGAUGUACCAGGUACAACCAUUUUUGGAAGGGUUUUCUGGUCAUUUGGUCCUGCAAUAGAAGGGUUCAAGCAUUGUAGACCAUUAAUUCAGAUCGACGGAACCCAUUUAUAUGAAAAGUAUAAGGGAAAAAUGUUAACUGCCUUAUCGAUUGAUGCAAAUGGUCAUAUAUUUCCUCUUGCAUUUGCUAUAGUGGAAGGGGAAAACACGUCUAGUUGGUCAUGGUUUCUUCAUGCACUUCGCGAAUACGUUACUGAUCGAUAUGGUAUUUGCUUGAUCUCUGAUAGACAUAGGGGCAUUCUUUCUGCCAUUAAAAAUGAAGAGGUAGGUUGGAGUGAACCUCGAGCUGUCCAUCGAUAUUGUCUUCGUCAUGUUGCUAGCAACUUCAAUCAGAAAUAUAAAUCAAAGCAACUGAAAGACUUGGUGUUUAGGGCAGGUAAUCAACACCAAAGGCGCAAAUUUAUAAAAAUAAUGAAAGAACUACAACGAUUGAACCCAGAGUGUCUUGAGUUUUUUGAAGAUAUUGACGUGGAAAAAUGGACUCAGUCACAUGACAAUGGGUCUCGAUAUGGGUGGAUGACAAGCAAUGCAGCUGAAUGUAUGAACGGUGUAUUUAAAGGAGCUCGAAUGUUACCCAUCACUUCUUUGGUUAGACUAACAUUUUAUCUCACAAUCCUUUAUUUCGAACGUCGGUGAGCUGAGAUAAGUGAAGCACUCGAUCGUGGUGAUAUUUAUACGGAAUAUGCGAUAAGAAAGCUUAAGAAGUGGGAAAAAUGAGCUUCUGCACAUUCAGUGACAUCCAUUGAUAGAGAAAUCCAGACAUUUGAGGUUCACACGGGUAUGAGUAUAAUUUCUCCAUACAAAGGCCAACACACACAGGUAGUAAGUUUGAUGGAAGGGACAUGUUCUUGCAAUAAGUGGCAGUCGUUUAAGAUUCUGUGUUCACAUGUAAUUGCAGUUUGUAAUUACAUGCACUUGACAUACGUACUGUCGCGACGUGAUCGCUACGCGGAGCGGCCGACCUUCCCGUUUAUUUAAUUUUAAUAAAUAGUUUUGGAGUCGCCACCAACCAUAUUAGGGUGUGAUUGGUCACCCAAAAAAAAAGAAAAAAAAAUGGUCUGCGUACAUUCAGAGAUUUAAGUUCGGGAGUCAGUUGUGUGUAGGGAAGGUGUUAGCACCCUACAACACCCAAAAAAUGGUUACCCAAUUUUAUCUUUUAAAUUAAAUUAUAGAGGUUCACAAAACAAAGUUUUUAUUUAGGUUUUGUUUAAAUGUCCCAUGUUUAUCAAUUCAUAUCGAAGAAAGUAAAACCUAAGCAUGAAUUGAUGAUUAUGGGUGGCAUAGGAGCCAUUAGAAAAAUUAAGUUUAUUUUUGUUUUAAAAGAUUUUUAUUCACCUUAAGAAUAUUAAGAUACCAAAACUUGAUAUUUUAAUCUCUAUCAUAGGUGUUUAAUGAAAAAUUUCAUAUAUCUAGAAUUAAUAAAUUCAUAGAAAAUACUACUCAGUCUCAUUUAAAAUAUGAAAUGUGUUAAUUUAAAAAACAAUCUAUUAAUUAAAUUUCAAAAGGAAAAAUUUCAUGUAUUUAUGGAUUUUAAAUUAUAAAAUCCAUAAAAAAAAUAAUACUUUUUCUCCAAUUUACGUUAUUAUAUUUAAAUAAAAAAAGAAUAAUAACAAUGGCAAAACAUUAUGAAAUUUGAAAAAAUACUUAGAAGUAAUAUGCUGAGAUAAAAUAAAUACAUUGAUAAUAUAUGCAAAAUGUAAAAGAUAUUAAUGUAGGAUGCAAGAUAAUUAAUUAAUACAAACACAUGCAACAUAAUUAAUUAAAUCAAAAUGAUGCAAAAUAAUUGAUUAAUGCAAGAUGCAAAAUAAUUGAUUAAUGCAAGAUGCAAAAUAAUUGAUUAAUGCAUAAUUAAACGAUGGCCAAAUGAAUAUCAAAUAAUAAUUAACAGUUGAAUGCCAAAGUAGGUUUGGCCCAAUAUGCAAAUAAAUAAUAUUGCAAAUAAACGAUCACACCAAAAUGAAUAUCAAAUAAUUAUAGCCACAUAUGCAUACUGAUUAACUAAUACAUCAUGCAAAUAAUUAGAAUGAGGGAGUGAAAAUGUCACAUACAAGUUGCUAAUUAAUUAAUAGGCCAAAUGAAAAAUGGUUGUUGCCAAAUAUUAAUUAUAUCAUGCAUAAUUAUUAACAUGAAUAAUAUAUGGAUAGCAGUAAUUAUUAUUAACGGAGUAUGCCAUAUGGAUACAUGGAUAAAGUAAUUAACAAAGACUGUAAAAUUGAUGCCAAUGAAGAAUGAGUAUUACCAAAUACAGGAUGUUAAUUGAUUAAUUAUGUAUAAUUAUUAAAACAUGUUAUAUGGACAUAAGUAAUUAACUGUAAAAUGGGUGCCAAUAAAGAAUGAGUAUUACCAAGAAGGCUAAUUGAUUAAUUAUGCAUAAUUAUUAAGGCAUGCCAUAUGGAUAUAAGUAAUUAACUGUAAAAUGGGUGUCAAUGAAGAAUGAGUAUCCAAAUACAAAUAUAUGAUGCUAAUUAAUUAAAAAGAAAUUAACACAGAAUGGAUGCCUAGUAAUAAAAGAAAAUUAACACAGAAUGGAUGCCCAAUAAUAAAAGAAAAUUAACACAGAAUGGAUACCCAACAAUUAAAAAGAAAUUAAUACAGAAUGGAUACCCAACCGUUAAAAAGAAAUUAACACAGAACAGAAUGGAUACCCAAUAUUUAAAAAGAAAUUAACACAGAACAGAAUGCUCAAUAUUUAAAAACAAAAAAUAAAAAAUUUAAUAUAGAAUGGAAGGUAGAAUGCUCAGUAUUAAGAAAGAUACAAAUAAUAAAAUUAACAUGUUAAAUGAUGGUAAAAUGAUGAACACGAUAGUUCAUAAUUAAAAGCAGUAUAUCAAACAAGAAAAAAAAAAUCAUUAAACAAGAAUAAGAACAAAAAGAGGAAAAAGAAAAAAAACUUACCAGCAGGUCUGCCCUUCAAUGCCAAAGGUUAUUCCUUUUGAUCUUCUUUCACUCUUCACCUCUUUCUAAAUCCUCCAAUAAUAAAAAAAAAGAUCCUCCCUUCUUUCUUUUUCCUCUUUCCUUUUUAUAGGGCAAACUCCAUUGUUUUUUUUAGAUCACGAGAUGGAGUGCAGAUUACAGAGAAAUAGGAAGAAAGUGGGAGAGUGGGAGAAAGUGAUAGAGUGGGAGAAAGUGGGAGAGUGAUGACGAAGAAAAAGGGAUGAUUGAGAAAAAAUAGGAAGGAAAUCAAACCUUUUAGUUUUAUUUUUAUUAUUUAUUUUUAAAUGUAUUUAUUAUUAUUAUUAUUGUUUUUUCAAAUAUAAAUUUAAGAUUCAAAUUCAAAUUCAAAUUCAAAUUCAAAUUCUUUUUCUUUUCUUUUUUUUUUCUUUUUUCUUUUAUAAUAAAUAAAUAUAGGACAAAAUACGGUAUCUACACGUACCAUACAUUGAUGAAUGCUACUUGUUGUCGACAUUCAAACGUUGUUAUGACGGUCGCUUCCAUCCAAUCCAACACUCAGAUUAUUGGCCAGAGAUAUCAUUCACUGAAGUUCGCCCCAAUGCGGACUUACUUAAAGGACCCGGUCGACCAAGAACUACAAGGAUCCAAAAUGAAAUGGAUUGGAAAGAGUCUAGUCAAUCAAUUAGAUGCACGAUCUGUAAAGUAGAAGGACAUAACAGACGUACUUGUCCUCAACGUGCUUCUUCUUCAAGACACUGAUAUGUAAUUAUUUUAGGGUUUGAUGUAAGUAUUAAUGCAUGACUUCUAUGUAAUUGUUUGAUGUAUAUCUUAAUAUUUGAUGAAUAGUUUUAUUAUAAUUUAUUGGUAUGUAAAAUUAACAACUUAAAUUUAUAAUAUUGUAAUCAUGUAAUGGAAUUUGGGUCAAUUGAUCCUCAUAGUAUUUUGAUAUUUUUUAGGUUAUUUGCAUAAUGGAACCUGGGUCGAGUGAUCCUACACAGCUAUAUCUACAACCAUCCCAUCGUUAACAGUCUAUAUGGGAGGCCUCCUCCACAGUUGUUUUGAGUUGUCGACGAAGAGAGGCAGCAUCUCAGCGUACGAUCCCAUUUGAUCAGCGUAUUGUACCAUAUUUAGAGGCUGCUGGAUUUCUAGGGGCUUCCCAAAUAGGAUUUAUGUAGUUGGACUGACAUUUGAUUACUGCUUUGGUCGAGCGUUGGAGACCAAAGACCCACACAUUUCAUAUGCCUUGUGGGGAAUGCACGAUCACCCUACAGGAUGUUGCAGUUCAGUUAGGGUUACCUGUGGAUGGUGAGCCUGUGGUAGGGUCGUUAUUAUAUGACUGGAAGGUACUAUGUGAGGAUUACUUGGGAGUUCGUCCACCUGAAAUGAAUGGUCAACGAUUGAGCCUUCCUUGGUUGGCAUAACAGUUCACAGAAUUGCCACCGGAUGCUGAUGUAGUGAGCGUUCAAAGAUACGCUCGUGCAUACAUUAUGCAGUUAAUUGGAGGCUUUCUAUUUGCAGACAAAUCAAACACCCUGGUCCACUGUAUGUUCCUCCCACUUUUAAUUAAUUUUGACCAGGCUGGUACGUAUGCUUGGGGCGCUGCAUGCCUCGCAUGGUUGUAUAGGGAAUUGUGUCGAGCGAGUAAUGCACGAUCUUUAGAGAUUGCUGGCCCAUUAAUAUUGUUGCAAGUAUGGGCGUAUAACAGAUUUCCUAUUCUGGCACCACAAGUACCUGUUGAGGUGUCAGUUGGUCGACCUUUGGGUUUCAGGUAUUAUAUAUAUAUAUAUAUAUAUAUAAUUUUUUAGUAAAAUUUGCAGAGUUUAUAACUUAUUAAUGAUUUCAUUUCACACAUUAGAUGGAGCGGCGUUAUACCAUUGUCAGAACUGUCUGCAAAUAUGUUGAUCACCUACCGAAUGUUUUUUGAUCGGCUGAUCAACUCUCAGGUAGUAAAAUAUUAUACCAAUAUUGCGUAGGCAUGUUUUUUGUUGUUUUCUUAUGUUCGUUUUUUUUAACAAAUUAAUUGGACACCAUACACGUCCCACAUUAUGGCAUUGCUUCCACGUCAAUGUUAUAACGGUCAAGCGAUGUGGACAUAUGUGGGUCCUAUGAUUUGCUUUCAUCUCGUUGAGAAGCAUCAAGCAGAUCGUGUAUUGCGCACAGUUCCAUAUGCUACAAAUGCCACCAGAGUUUUGCUCCACAGAUCAGGGCCUACACCAAAUUGAUUUAAGAGACAAGCACGAUCAAGAUUGGAGUAGGAUUCAUGUAGAGCAUAUAGCAAUGUGGCAUUCACGAAAUAAUUUUUGUGCCGAAGCAGAAGCAACACAGAAGCCGAUAGUAUCAGAUAACUACUUUUCCUGGUACACGUCGAUUACCCGACGCUUCAUGACACCUGAUGGCGCUUACUGUUAUCGCAUGGUAAUAGUUUUAAUAUGAUUUAUAAAUUUAAUACAAGCAUGAACAUUUUUUAAUUAUAUUAUUUACAAUCGUUCAGAAUAAUUUUGUUGAAAACGUACGUCGAGUCUCCAUGGAAAACAAUUUUGAAAUUUUUAGUCCAAUGUGUGACGAUGUCAUGGGAGAUAUAGACAGCCUUGUUCAGCAGACUCGACGUUUAAAUGUUGCCGACACAGAUCGUAGACGCAUUCGACGGCGACGACGACGACAAGGCGAUGAUGUCGUAGAGGGAGAUGGGGAAGCUUCUUAAGUUGUAUAAUUUAAGUGUUUUUAAAUUUUGCUAGAACUUAUUCAAGUUGUAUAAAUAAAAAGUUGAACUUUUUUAAAUUAAUUAUAAAUUAGAAGUUGCUAAUACAUGAUUUAGAUGUAGGAGUAUUCUUAAUAAUAUCAAUAUAUAAUAUAUAUUUUUUAAAAGUAGAGAACCAAGUAUUAAAAAAAACGUUCAAAAUUCUUAUAAGAUAUCACUAAUGAUGUGUUUACCUUUGGUUUAUUUUUUUAAUUUGUUCAUAAUAAACAUAAACUACCAAAAAUUUGGCCAUUUAAACAAAAACUAAAAUUUUCACAUAUUUAAAGUUGAAGAUUUAAACAAAAACAUAAAUUUCCAACUACCCUAAUUUUGAAAAUACUUUUUAAAAACACAUUAUUUUAAAAACAAAUCCAUCUUUCACAAAUGUUUUUACCCUAAAAAUAGUUAAUCUUUUAAAAUAUAAUAAUUUUAAAAACAAUUAUUUAGGAAGUCGUGUACCCCGUACACGACUUCCGUCCACGGGGUUCAAACUCGUGCAUACGUGGCGGCGAAGUGGUCAAAUGUGCUGACAUGUUUUUGAAAAUAGUUUGGGAAGCAACCUUAUUCUUAUAAUUUCUUUCCCAACAACCCUAUUUUUCAAAAUAUUUUCACAAAACACAUUAUUUAAAAAAAAAAAACCAAAGAAAAAUGGUAGAGUGGUGGCAACCUCUUAAAAGAAAUAAAAAUGAUCAUCGUAAUAACAACAACAACAAUAAUAAAAACAAGUAAAAAGAAAAAAACCGUAAUAGUAAUAAAAUAAAAUAUAAUAAUAAUAAUGGUAAUAACGAUAGUAAUGAUAAAAUUUUCUUUAUCUUCAUUAUUUCUCUCUAUAUUUUAGAGAAAAGAAAAUAAAGGUUAAGAGUUGAAAUUUUUUAAAAAAUAAUGGCAUACAGAUAAAUAAAAAAGGAACAUUUUUCUUAGAUCGUUUUUUUUCUCCCUACUUCUUUUAGAGAGAAUAAAAAGACUAAAGAAUUUUUUUAAAAUGAUGAUAAAAGAAAAAAAAGUGUAAAAAAUUACUAAAACUUUCCUACAUUUUCUUUUCUUUCUCUUUUAUCUUUUAAAAGGGAGAAGGAAAGAAAAAUAAGGAUUCGAAUCCCAAAGAAAUUAUUUGUUGUCUGGGGUGCGGAUCCUUGGGAUUAAAUCUCUACCAAAUGCAACCUCCAACUAAGUUUAUUUCAACAUGAGAUUUGAUUUGCUUAAGAUAAAUUUUUUUAAAAUGUAGAGACAAUAAAGUAAUAAAAAGAAUAAGAAAAACUCACAUUUUGCAGAAUUUUUUUUACAGAGAUUCGCUCUAAAUAAUAAAAAAUUUUCUAAGCACUCUCUAAAGAUUUUUUUUCUCUCUGAGAAAUUUUAUUCCUCCUCUCCAAACGAUAAAUAUCCCUCUUUAUAGACUCGGGGUGUACUAUAGAUUAGAAAAAAUGAAUAAGAAUAAAAUCAAAAUUGGAUAUUAUGUUAAUAAAAUAAAUUUUUAUUUUCCUAAAAUAAAUUAAUUAAAUUAAAUUAGAUAUUUUGAGAUUUUGUGAAAAAUUAAUAAAUAAACUAAAUGGAUAUUAAAAGAUUUUUGUUUAAAAUUGAUUUUUUGCCCUAAAAUGAUACAAAUAAGUUAGAGAUUUUAUUAAUUUAUUUUUUCCUAAAAUGAGUAGAAAUAAGUUUUUAAAAAAUAUUUUAUUUAAAACUAAAUAACUUCUUUGAUAUUAAAAGAUUUAUUUAAAAUAAAUGAAUUUUGUUUUUAUUUCCUAAAACGAUAGAAAUGAGAUAUUAUGUUAUUACUAAUUUUUUACCUUUAUAAAAAAAUAAAAAAAUAAAAAUUUUAGUCAUUAUUACUAAUAUUAAUAUUUUAAAAAAGAUAUAUAUGUGUAGGAUAAAAAUAGGUGGCUACACAAGUGAAGUUCUAAAAUUGCAUGUGCUUUAGGGCCUUGUACGUAUAUUCCAAUUUAGUGGAUGCUCUAUAGAAUUUACCCAGAAUUUCAUAGGAAACGACCCUCACUUCCACAAGAAUACUCUUGUAGCCAGGUACUCUACUUGAUAUCAAGUAUAUGAUUCGUUAAGAACCAAGUUCAACUUUUUCAUGUGCUUCAAGAUAUCAUGCUAAUCACUCAUUCAUGUGAAUGGAACUUCUAUAGGUUUCUUAGCAUGAUUCUCUUCAUAUCACUUGUGAUCAGUUAUUACUCAUUAAACUUGUUUUUUGGGAUUUCCAGUUUUUCAAGUUGGGUUUACCUCACAAGUAAUUCAUUUUUCUAUAGGUUUAAGUCUCAUUCAUUUUGAGGUUUUAAAAAUCGUCUGUCUAGCUAGUCCUUUCAUCAAAAGAUCAGCCAAGUUGUCAUUAGACAGUACAUAAUCCACUAUCACUGCACCAAUAGUGAGAAAUUCUCUAAUGGUACUAUGUUUACGAUGUAUUUGCCAUCUCUUACGGUUGCAAUAAUAGUAUUGAACUUUUGCAAUAGGCGCAAUACUAUCACAAUGGAUUAGUAUGGUUGGUCUUGAUCUUUUCCAUGUGAGAAUCUCUGAUAGCAAGCUUCAAAGCCAGUUUGCUUCUUCACUUGUAGUAGCUAGUGCUAUCAUUUCUAACUCCAUCAUUAACUAGUCUAAGAUGGUUUGUUUCUUGGAUUUGCAAGUAACAACUCCUCGUGCUAUCUUAAAAAUAUAGCCACUUGUAGCCUUUGAGUCAUCUAAGAGGGAGUUCCAAUCAACAUCAUUAUAACCUUCUAGUACAAUAGGAAACUUUUGAUAAUGUAAUCCUAGGUUUUUGGUUUGCUUAAAAUAUUUCAUUACUCUUUCUAAAGCAUUCCAGUGUUCUAGGCUAGGUCUGCUAGUAAACCUACAUAGUAGCCCUAUAACAUAAGCUAUGUCUGGUCUAAUGCUAACAUGUCUCAGACUUCUUACAAUGCCCGCAUAUUUAGAUUGAUUAACAUUGUCGUCAGUGUUUUUUAACAACUUAACACUAAAUUCAUGGGGUGUAUAGACUGGUUUGUUUUCAAAGUAGUUCUACUUCUUUAGGAUCUUCUCUAUGUAUUGGGAUUGAUCUAAUGAAAUUUUCUUUUCAGUUAUAGUAAUUUUGAUACCUAGGAUUACAUUAGCUUCUUCUAAUUCUUUCAUGUCAAAUUUUCACUCAGCGUUGAUUUUGCAUCAUUUAUGACGUUCAAGUUUGAUCCAAAUAUUAACAUGUAAUCUACAUAUAAGCAUAUGAUAGUGCAUAAACCAUUCUUAGUCUUAUAGUAGAUGCAUUUAUCACUCUCAUUUACUUUGAAUCCUUUAGACAUUGUUAGAUUAUCGAACUUUUCGUGCCAUUGCUUAGGAUCUUGUUUUAGGCCACAGAGGGAUUUAUCUAAUUUAUAAACUUUAGAUUCUUGACCAUGAACUAUGAAACUUUUAGGUUGUUCAAUAUAGAUCUUUUCUUCUAAAUCAUCGUUUAGGAAGGAAGUCUUAACAUCCAACUGAUGUAUUAAGAGAUUGUUCAAGGUAACUAUAGAAAUCAACACUCUAAUUAAGGUGAUUCUAGUGAGUGGGAGAAAGUGUCGAAAAAUCUAUGUUUUUCCUCUGUUUAAAACCUUUUGCUACAAAUUUGGUAUGUAAGAUGUAUUUCGGGGUAGGUCAACUAAGUGUCGAGUACUGUUUGAUUCACAAAUGUAUGUAUUUUUUUUUAUUCUACAAAUUUUAUAACUUUUCAAAAAUAUAUCAUGAUUUAUUUUUUACGUUGAUAAACAUAUUGAAAAGUGAAAAUAUACAUCUCAUAUAUUAUUUGGUAUGUAAGAUGAUAUAUUGUAAAAUAGUUAUAUCUGUACAUUUAUUUGGUUUAGUUAUUAAUUUGAAAUAUAUAUCAUGUUUACAUCAAAUAUAAUUAUAACAAUUAUAGAAUUUUAGCAAGUAACACAACAAUAAGAUAUAUAUUUUAUGUACUUUCUCUCAUAUAUACACAUAUAUAUUUAAUUAUUUUGAACAUAUAUACAUCAUAUUAUAUAAUAAACAACUAUGUAAUAAUGAUGUUUUAUAUAAAACCUCGUAUAUCCUAAAAACCCAAUUAAUCAGAUCCAAUAAUAUCCAAUGUAACAAAAUUAACUGUUAAUGACUAUUCGUUUCACAUACUCUAUAUAUCGAGUUUUUUUGUAUGCUAGCAUAUAUUAAAUGUGUAGUUUCAGAUUGAUUUCAACGAAUAAUUUAAAAAAUAUAAUGUGUUAAGUUAGAAACAAAAAUUUAAAUAUAAAAAUAAUAUUGUCAUUGAAUAUAAUAUAUUUAGCAGAAGUUCAAUGAAAAUUACGAACAAUAUACUGAAAUAUUGUUUUAGAAAACAUAAUUUUAUAAACUAUUGUGUAACUUUUGAAAUGAUGUCUAUUCAUGGACUAAAAUAUACUGAAAUAUUGGUCAUACCUAAUAUAAUGUGAUAUAUACAUAUAUAUUGUAACGUAAUAAUGAACAAACAUGUAAACCGAACCCAACUUCAAAUACUACAAAAAUUUCUGAAAUAUUAUUUAAAUAUAUGAAAAAUAUUACAAUUUGGAUGUAAUAUAAUCGUUAUAAAUUGAAACUAUAUUCCUCUCAAAAUGAACAAAAUUAAUCUUUACUAAUAUAAGAAAAAUCAAUUGAAAUAUCUAAAAAUUCAUUGUAAUAAUCAUUUCAAAAAUACACUCUUCAUGCGAAAGAUUCAUUUCAAUAACAAAAAAGCAAUGAUAAAGGAAUACAAGAUUUGACCGGAAGAAGAAAAAAUAGACGAAGAGAGAGUUUAGCUGAAAUAUUAUAAAUAAUAUAUCAUAAUUAGAUAUGAUCACUCAUAAAUGCAAACAAAUAAAUUAAAUAAUUAAUAGUAUGAAUAUGUAAGUUUUAGUAUUCAUAAUAAAUUACAGUAAAUAAAUAUAUUAAUUUUCAUGUAUAUCUUUUAUUUUAAAUUAAUGGUAAGUCAAAUAUGUCCAAAAAAAACUUGCUAAAUCUUAUGACAUCCAAAUAAUUUAGAAUUUAAGAUAUUUGUGAAAUAUUGUAAACAUUGGCAUUCCUUUAAAUUUUUCUUUAUUUUAAAAAUGACGACUCAAGAAUUAAAUUCCAUUUGAAGUUGAACAAAUUUUGAUUUUCAUGGAGUAUUAAUUUAAAUCCAACUUAGAUUUAGGAAAUCUUACUUCCAACCUUUAGGUGGAGUUUUCAAGGUUCUUUGUUGAGUUAUUAUAAUUAAAAUUAGUUUGUUUUAUUAAUUAGAAUUAUGAUUAGUUUGUUUUCAACUUUAAAAUUAGAGCACUUGCAAAAAUGACAAAAUAAGUUAUAAUAAUUAAGUCCAUAACACACACACUUUAUUAUUUGAGAAAAUGACAAAAACGAAUCUCAACCCACGCAUCAAAAGGUCACAAAUAUCUUCGUUACUAAUAUACGUUUGAUACAUCUUAUACACGUUUGAUAUACCUAAAUACACUCCUUGAUACACCUGAUAAUUCUUGAUACACCUGAUACAUUUGAUUGAUACAUUUGAUGCAUAUGAUAUUUUUUUAUGCACUCGAUACCUUUUGAUACACACCUGAAACAUUACUAAUAUAUGUUUGAUAUACCUGAUACACUGCAGAUACAUUUAAUAUUCUUCACUUAUAUAAUUGAUUGAUUAAAUGCACUUGAUAUGUUUGAAGUUCUACUUAUACACUUGAUAUACUAUUGUAAACUUGAUUCAUAUAUUCGAUAAUGAUUCAUUUUAUUGAUAUGUUUUAACAAUAUAUUGUUGAUAUAUUUGAUAACAAUACACUGAGUUACAUCAUUCAUAUACUUAAUAAUACUCUAAUCAACUGCAUAAAAUUUGAAAAAAUAAAAAUCACGUGGUAAGUAUAUCACAACAGUGAUAUACGAAACUGAGACAAAGUAAAACAAAAAAUUGAUGUGAAAAAAUAAAACAAAAAUAUUUGAAAUUAGAUUCAACUCAAAAUACACACAAAGAAAGUAAAAAAAAAAUCACAAAUGAUAUUAAAUUAUUAUGAUCAACAACCAUUAUAUUAUAUUUCAUAUUGCAAUUAUCAGAUAUUUAAUUUAAGACAUAAAUAAUAAAUAAUUUUUAUAAUAUAAAAAUAAAAAAUAAUUAGGACCUUAAAAAGUGGGAGAAUAAAUAAACAAUGAGUAGGACAUUAAAAAGAUGAGGAGAAAUAAGUUAUUGAAUGAUAGUUUAGGAAUAAUAACAAAUUUAAGAUGGAGAAGUGAAAAUUUUGCCAUAUUUGCAAAAUUCUAAAACAAUGUGUUAUAAUUGCUAUAUUAUAUUAUCAAAAUGCUAUCAUAUCCAAUUUUCCUUUAAAUUUUUUUCUCUUAAGUUUUCUGUUUUGAUAACAAACCUUUUUUUUAAAAGAAUAAUGUUAUUUUAAAAUUUAAUGUAAAAAAUAGGGUAGAGGAAAACUAUUGAUAAAAAUAGGAUAGCUGUGGGUGAAGUUGUGGACAGGCUGAGUUAGCAAUCAAAGUCGUGGACUAUGGUCGUGUGGACCCCACACCUUUCUCUUUUUUUUUUUUAUUAUUUAUAUAUAUUAAAUAUUUCAAUUCUAAAAAUACCUUUCCUUAUUAAAAUUAAUAUCAACUUUCAAAUUUUAAUUUAUUAUUUUUAUUUUUUCUUUUUCUAUACAUAUUAAAUAUCUCAAUAUUCAAUAUUUAUUAUUAAAUUCACAUUUUCUAAUUUAAUCUGAUUGUUUUUUAAUCAUUACGUAUCUUCUUUUUCAAUUUCCAAUUCUUGAUACACCGUAUUAACAAAAUAUGUUAUUAUACAAAUUAAAAUAGUAAUAAUAAUAAUGAAGAGAAGUUGAAGUUUACUUAAAAAAAUAAAAUAAUAAUAAUAACUAUUAAAGUUACCAAUGUACAUCGUUCAUGUGGAUAAUUGAAUAUAAAAUUUUAAUGUUUAUGACAAGAAAAAAAAGUAGGAAUCGUGAAAUAAUUUAAAGCUGAUCGAUAGAAAUCAUGGUUCGAUUGCAAAUUGAAUUUAAAAAAUCUAACCUAAUCAAAUUAGAAACUAUCUAUUAUUAUUAUUACCCGGAAUUUAUUGUUGUAUCUUAUUAAUUUAAUCAUAAUACUGGGAUGAAUAUUUUUUUAUAGCAAUUUGGUCAUUUAAAAUAUUUUUUUAGAUUUUUAUUUAUUAAUUAGUUUUUUUAAGUACUUAGUUUAAUUUUAAAAUGAACAAAAUAUUAUUUUUAGGUAAUAUAAAUAAAUAUAUAUACACGUGCUAAGAAAAUUACUCAUAAAUUAGGGUCUUUUAAUCUCUAGACUCGAAAUAAGAAAAAAUAAUUUAAUAGUAAAAAAAAAGCUAACUGAAAAUAAUAAUACUUUAGUUAAAAUUGAAUAUAUAUAUAUAUAUAUAUAUAUAUAUAUAUAAAUAAAGAAAAAGAAUAAAUUAAAUUUGGAAAGUUGUCCUUAUUAACAAAUAUAUUUUUAGAAUUAGAAUAUUUAAUUAAAAUAUAUAAACACAAGACCGAAUCAUAAAACUGACCAACAACAAUCGAAGUAGAUUUUAAAAAUCUCACAAAGUAACCAAUAACCAUCAAGCUCACCAUCUCAUCUUUUUUUUUUUUUUGUUUUUGUUUUUCUUUUACUCAUUCCAAGGAUCUCACCUUUUGUUGCUUUCAUUUGAUGUGCGAACUAUUUUCGACAAGUGCGUCAAAAUUAAACCCACCUCUAUCCAUUGCUCAUGCCAUAUGGACUUUUGGCAAUACUCACACAUUUAAGCAUUUGGUAGAUGAAAUUACACAUUGAAUUGAGUUGUAUGUUUAUAGAACCUUUCAAAACACCAUUAAUUAAAAUAACAAAAUAGAAGAAACUUAACUUUGACCUACUUUUUAAGAACGUUUUUCAAUUUUGAGGAUUACAUUACAUGUCUUAUAUUUAAGGGUUUUUAACUAGAAUAGCCUGAGUAGGAAUCUCUAUUCAAUAUAUUUAUUUUCAUUUAAUUUUAAGAUUUUCAUUUAUUAGAUGUCCUAAGCAAAUAUGAAAUAUGGUGUAUAAUUAAUUCAGUUAAUACAAGAUUCUAAUUUAUUCCAUAUUUGUAAUCAAUACAUAUUUAUUUCAUAUAAUUAAUUUUAUUUAUGAAAUUGUGAAUUAUAGUAUGCGUGAAAAAUUUUGACCAAGUUUUCCGAUUAAAAAAAUUUGCAGUGAAUGAAGUAUACAUGUCACUUACUUUCUUUUCGUUUUGUAUUGUUUUUCAUAUAUAACAUGUACUUUACUACUUUAUGAUUUACAAUCAUUAUAUUACAUCUAUUUUGCAUUGUUUUUUAUAUAUCGAAAGUUAAUUUGAUAAAUUCUGUAUAGUAUAAUAAAUUGAUUUCGAUUUAAAUUGAAUCGUAUAUACUUGUAUAUAUUUUAAAUAAUAUUGUAUAGUGAUAUAAUUAUAUUACAUCUAUUUCCAGUGGGUGCAUAUGUAUGUUUUAAAUAAUACCCAUACAUAUUUUAAAUAAUAAUGUAAAGUCAUUUGAUUAUAUAUUUACUUGUAUAUACACUACACAAUAUUAUUUAAAAAUUUUGGAACUUGAUUCGUGUGGAUGGAUAAUGAAAUGAAAUCCUCGAGCAAAUUUGGUAAGGAUGGGUAUGGAAAAUGAAAUGGAAAGUGAGGAUGGACACGGGGAAUGACAUUUUUGAUCGUCGCGUCACAUCUCUAAUCACAAAUUCUUGCUUAAUUUUUUUUUUUUUUCAUUUGAAUCAAGUGGUUUGAGUUUGAAAGUUACAUGAAAAGUUAAAUAAAAUUAAUCUAAAAUUUCGAUAAUUAAUUUACUUUGUAAAUAAAAAAUCUUUAAAAAAAACCCAAAAUUACAAGGUAUUAUUUGUUUAUAAAAACAAAAAUUAUUCUAAGCCUGGAUGGGGUUCUUUUCACCCUUCCCUCACAAUACAAUUUUUUAUGUUAUUUGUUGAUAAAUAAAAAUAAAUUUAUAUAAUCUAAAAUUUUGAGAUAAUAUUUGUUAGAUAAUGGUUGUGAAUAAACAAAUUAAAAAAUAUUUAAAAGUUUGAAAUUUAAAAUAUAAAAAAGAAUUCUAUAAUUGUUUUGUUUUUUUAAUCAAUUUUCCCUUUUAGAAUGUGUAAUUUUCUUUUAAUUAAUAAUAAAUAUUGGUUGCCCAAUUUCAAAUUCUCAAUUGGAAUGUGACGAGAACUAAAGAAAAUAAUGAGCAUAAACUUCAAGCUUCCAUCUCAUAUAACUGAUAUAAUUUUCUCCAAAAUUUUAAUGGAAAAUUUCUUCCUAUUAAUCGUUAGUCUCGAACUAUAUACUUUCUUCUUGGAUUGUCAAGAAGAAUAACAAAUUAUGAAUUUUACUUUGGGAAAAUAGCAAAUUUAUUUUUAAAUUGUUAGAAUAACAAAAUUGAAAAAUCUAAAAAAAUAAAUAAAUUGAACAAUGUCUCAAAUGCCUCUAGCCAAUUCAAAAACAGUACUAAAUACAAUUGUUCACGUAAAUCUCAAAUACCCUGUAAUUAAAUAACACAUCCUUGUUGAAUUGUGCACGUUUAGGUAUUCAAAGCAGAAAAGAAUCCAACUUCACUAUCUUCCACUUUCCUAGAUUCUACAAAAUCUUCAAAGUCUUCGAUCAGUUGCAAAAAAUAUUGGAGCUUCAAGUUUCGUCCUCCUCAAAACCUUCAAAGUCUUCAUAUAUUCAGCGCAAAUCAAAGGGUUUUCUUAACUUCAAGAGGUAAUUAAGAAAAAGUACAACAAAACUCCAACAAUCACAAAAUCACUAAAAUCUGGCGACUAACGAUGGCUGGAAGUUUUGGCAGAACCGGUGAACGAAUGGUGAUGAAGGAGAUCGACGCGGCUGGACAUGCGAUGCAUGAAGGAACAAGCAACGCAAAGGCGCUCGGCUUCGGAUGAAGUAAAAAUGCGACUAGCGACGUGUAGCAGAGGAGACGUUUCCUUACGACUUAGUUCUCAGUGAACAGAAUGGAGGGGAUGGCUACAAAGGGGAAGAUCUCGACUGAACGCAGAACACUCGAACGAAGAUGGAGGUGUCGACGGUGGCUAGAGUUUGGUGAGAGUGAAGAAGAUGAUUAAUAGUAAUAAUAAUAAAUAUUAUUAUAUUAUUCUUUUCCCUUAAAUAUCUUCUUUUUUCUUUUUUAAUUUAAAUAAAACAAAUCUUUUCUUCUUAAUUAAUUCCUUCCAAAAAUAAAAUAUUCAAUUUUUUGUAUAAAUUUUGAAAUAUAAAUAAUUCGAAAAUGUUAAAUUUAUGUUUGCCAUUAUUUUGAAAAUAUGAAGCAAAUAACACGAUUUUAGGGACUGAUAAAAAUUUUAAUAACACAAGUGGUAAUCUUAUCAUGAUUUUAGGGAUGAUAAAAUUUUAAAUUAAAAUUGUUAUUAACAAUAACUAUUUUUAUAAAAUUUUAAAGCAAUUUUAAUAUUUUGACAGUUUCAAAUAAAAAUUUAAAAUCUAUUUUUAAAAAACAAUUAUGGAAUAUAGAUGAGAGAUAUUAACAAGAUAACCUAAAAUUUUGAAAUUAUGUUUGAUAUGUUUUAGGGAAAUCAAUCGAGGAGCACAAUUAUAGGGAUAUCAAAUUUUUCUUAGAAUAAUUCUAUUAAAUGCGUUAUAAUUAUAGAGGUAAGAUACAAUCUUAAUUUCAAUUUAUUAUAUUAAAUAAAUUGUUAUUAAAAAUAUAAAAAGUUUAGGAAAUCAAUCAAGUACCCCGAUUAUAGGAAAAAUAUCAAAACUUUCUUAGAAUAAUCAUUGCAUCAUAAGUAUAGGGGUAAGAUACAAUUUUAAUUUUAACAACAAUAACUAAAUAAAUUGUUAAUUACUUGAUUUGAAACCUACAAACACAAAAAAUCUGGUAUAAAUUGCAGGCAUAAAUCUAGGGGAUGUUGAUUGAGAUCUAUCUCCAUAAUAAAAAUUUAUUUAAUAUUUUUACACAAUUGAAUUAUUCGCAAAUACACUGUAUCUGUCAUUCUCGGUUAUAUUCCAUCAUUUUAACCUACACAAAUACUUAUACCUCAGUUAAGAAUCUCUAUAUAUGUAAAAUCGGCUGAAAAUAUAAAAAAGUGAAAUUCUUGUAUUUUUUAGGUAUUUAAAUUCAAAUUUUUAUAAAUAUUUUGGAAUAUAAAUAAUCGAAAGAUAUAUUGAAUUUAUGUUUGCAAUUAUUUUAGGGAUAUCAACUAAACUAAAUAGCACGACUUUAUGAGUUGCUUUAAUAAAAUAAGUGGAUAAUCGUAAUUAGCACGAUUUUAGUGAAUGAUAAGAUUUUAAAUUCAAAUUGUUAUUAAGCAUAUGUAUUUUGGAGGUAUUUAAAUUCAAAAAAUGUUCAUAAAUAUUUUGAAAUAUAAAUAAUUAAAAAUGGUUGAAUUUAUGUUUGCUAUUAUUUUAGGGAUAUGAUUGUUUAAAAGAAUUUAGAUCGACGAUUUUAUUGGAUGUUAUAAAAUCUAACUUCAAAUUGUUAUUAGAAACAUGAAAAAUAUGUAUUACGUAUUAUAUAAUUAAAUAUUAAUAAAUAUUAAAAGGAAUCUUAUGAAACGGAAAAUGAUGAAAUUAUAUUAGAAUUCAAAUAGUCAUUACUAUAUAUAACCUCUAAAAAAAUUUGAAUUCAAAUAGUCAUUACUAUGCAUAUUAUGAAUUAAAGAAAUAAUUUGUUAAUUAAUUGAUUUGAAACCUAAAUUCCAAAAAACAUGUAUAAAUUGCACGCAUAAAUCUAAAGAAUGUUGAUGUAAUCUUAUAUAGUCCAAAAAUAAAAAGUUAUUUAAUAUUUUUCAAAAUUGAUGGUUUUUGCAAAUAUACUGUAUAUGUGAAUCUGUGAUAUUUUGUAUCAUUUUUUAUCUAUAUAAAUACAAUAUAUCUGACGGAAAAGAAUUUUCGUAUGCAAAAGGAUAUAAUCGGUUAAAAAAAAAAAGUAAAAAAGAAGUCUACAACCCCAAUUUUGCUAUAAAUCUCAAUAUUUUUUAAAUUUGCUAUUUUUCAAUUUAUUAUCAAAUUUGCUUCUACUUUGUGUUGGAAAAGCUUGUGGGCCUUUGACCCAAUGCAAAGUUACCUCUAUUGUUGUCCUACAUUGAUAAAGUUGGAAGAGACAAAUAAGUAUAAAUAGUUAAGUAUCACUUAGAUUACAAAUUGUGUUAAUGGUGAUAGUAUGAAUCUGUCACCACGUGCAUUGUUGUUGUCCGUCUUGGCAGGCAGGCUCGGACAACCAUGCUUGCGUGAAUAAGGAUGUAAUUUUUUAUACUCAUCCAAAUAGUUUUUUUUUUUUUGUUCCCCUAAGUGCCUUGCGACGUCUCACUCAGUGGCGUAGUCACUUAAGUCGCAAUUUGGGCCAGUUCUCCAGUCGUCUCGAAUUAUCGUUCUUCCACACUCCACGUUACUGUUCGUCCGUUGUUGAUCUUUCCUCCAUGCCUCGCUUUUAACGAAAUUUAAGAUGAUAGUUAAGGGGGACUCAAUUAUAAAUAAAGCCCUCCUCUAGUUCAUUUCAUUAAUUCGAUAUACACUCUCCUCCCUACCUUUCUCUCUAUCAAUACAAAGUUUUGAGCAAGAUCCUUCAUUGUUUCUAUUCUUAUUUCCAGCGAGUGCACGUCAGAAGUAGAGAGUUGUCUUAACCUUAGGAAGCAACCAACAUUACAAUUAGCAUCACGGUCUGGCCGAAUUUGCUUUCAGGACAGUGAUUCGUCACGGCACAGCAAGUCAUUUAGAUCGUCAUCCACGUAGAUUUUAUAACAAUCUGAAAGCAAAUUACAAUGUCGAUAAAAAAACAACAAAGUCCUACCAGACCUGUCCAAGUUGGGGCCACUCGACGGAGCGAACUACCGUUGCUAGUCCCAAAAGUUGCUGAUCUUUUUCAAACAGCUCGAAGUCAACUACGUCCUCACCAUCGAACCACCAACCGAUCCUCCAGCACCACCAACCAAUUCUCUAGCACCGUCUAAUCCAUAAUCAUCCACGGGACCCAUUGCUGUCACUGCCGACUACGUAAAGAAAGCGUCUGCAAUUGAUCCCGAGAAGUAUAAUAAGGACAACAAGACAGUUUGUGGGCAUAUGUUGAACCAUAUGUCAGAUCCGAUGUUUGACUUGUUUGUAAUCCAAAAAUCUACCAUGGACAUCUGGUGCAUUAUGGAGUUUCCUUAUGAUGGAGAUGACGCUGGAUGGAAGAAUUACGUCGUGGGAAAAUGGUUACAGUUCCAGGAAAAUGGUUACAGUUCCAGAUGAUAGAUGAUAAGCCAGCUGUGGAAUAAAUACAUGAGUAUGAAAAUCUAGUGGCAAAUCUCCUAUCGGAAGGUAUGAUGUGUGAGAUACUUCAAGCCAACGUUUUGCCGAAAUCACCUGAAGCACAAGAAGAAAGAUAUGAAACUCCAAGAUCUGAUAAAUCACAUGUGUACAAAAGAGGCCAACAAAUUAAAAGAUAAGUUAGCUUCCAAAUAUUUAAAUUCAAUUAAUGCUAACUUGGUUGAGUCUUCCUUUAUAAACAAAGACAUGAAAAAACAGAAUAAAAGGCAUAAUGGGAGAACCCCACAAAAAAUACAGUUCAAGGCUCAUUGAGGAAAAAUCAAGAAAAAAAAACUCACCUGCUAUGUCCGCGGAAAGGAAGGACACAAAUUCUAUUAGUGCAAUCAAAGGAAGGGGAAACCAAAGAACAAAAAACAAGCACCUCAAGCCAACCUUGCUGAACAUGAUGAAGUCAUAGCUGCAGUUGUGGAAGUGAACCUAAUUGAAAACAAGACUGAAUGGAUCCUGAAUACUGGAGCAUCAAGACACUUUUAUACCAAUCAAGAUCUUUUCCAUGACUACGAGGACAUUGUUGAUGGAGAAUACGUGUUCAUGGGAAACUCAGCCACCGCAAGAGUAAUCAAGAAAGGAAAGGUUAUUUUAAAUAUAACUUCUGGACAAAUUUUAUCCUUGAGUAAUGUUUUGUAUGUCCCUUUCCUAUGUAAGAACUUGGUGUCUGGGAGUUUGUUGGUAAGGGGUAUCUGUCUAAUGGUCUUUUUGUCCUUAAUACUAUUUUUAUGAAUGCAAAUACUUCUAGUUCUGCCUACAUAAUUGAAUCUAUUGAUCUGUGGCAUCAUAGACUAGGACACGUGAACUUUGUAUCAAUUAAGAAGCUUAAAAAUUUAAAACUAAUUAAUCCAUGUGAAUCGCAUGAAACUGGUAAAUGCCCUGUAUGCGUAGAAAGUAAGUACUUUAAGAAACCUUACAAACCUGUUAUGAUGAGAAGUACUGAAUUAUUAGAAUUGAUUCACUCGAAUCUAGCUUAUUUAAAAAAACACCCCUAGUAGAGGAGGCAAAAAUUGUGAUAUAUAUUUUGUUGAUGAUUUCUCUAGAUUUACUAAGGUUAAAUUAAAAGAUGAAGUUAGUAGCAUGUUUUUGAAAUUUAAGGCAGAGUUUGAAAAUCAACCAGACAAAAGGAUAAAACGAUUAAGUCAGAUAGAGAUGGUGAGUAUUCCGAUAGAACUCUAAAAGAAUAUUGUGAAUCAAAUGGUAUUAUUCAUGAAUUCAUUGCCCCUUACUCACCACAACAAAAUGACAUAGUAGAACGUAAAAAUAGAACUCUUAAAGAAAUGAUGAAUGCUAUGUUAUUAAACUCUGGUCUAUCUGACGAUAUGUGGGGGGAAGCUGUGUUGCUUGCAUGUUUUGUUCUUAACAGGGUUGCUCACAAAAAGCUGGACAAAACUCCCUACGAACUCUGGAAAGGAUACAAACCAAAUCUCAACUACUUGAAAGUGUGGGGAUGCUUGGCUAAGGUACCAUUUUCUGCACUAAGAAAUCCACAGUAGGGUCUAAAACCUUUGAUUGUAUAUUUAUCGAUUUAUGUGUUUGAAUGAUAAACACAUAAAUGAAUUUAGGGAUGCAAAAUUCUUUGAGCAUGUAUUUCCUUUAAAGAGAUCUUUGUUUGUUCCCUGUCCAUCGAAAAAACUGCAUGAUCUAGAGAACCCCAAAGUUGUUAGUGAAACACCUAAGUUAGAUACUUCUGGCAUAAGAUAUGAUUUAGAACCUAGAAUAAGUAAAAGACAGAGAAGUGAGAAAAGUUUCGGACCCGAUUUCCUAAGCACCUUUAUAGUAGAAAGGCACGAUGAAAUUGAUUGCAAUUUCACUAGCCUGUUUUUAAUUAAUGAAGAUCCUAAAACUUACCAAGAGGCCUUAAGCUCGGUAAAGUCCAGUAUAUGGAAGGAGGCUAUUAAAAGCGAGUUGAAUUCACUAACCAUGAAUCAAACAUGGGAAUUAGUAGACAUUCCUAAAGGAAGUAAACCAAUUAAGUGCAAGUGGAUCUUCAAAAGAAAAAUAAGACCAGAUGGAUCAAUAGAAAGAUACAAAGCAAGACUAGUAGUGAUAGAGUAUACUAAAAAACAAGGUAUUGAUUACUUUGAUACUUAUUCCCCUGUAACUAAGAUAACCAAGAGCCUUAAUUGCACUAGUUUCCAUUCACAACCUUCUUAUUCACCAAAUGGUGAUUUAGAAGAAGAAAUCUAUAUGACUCAACCAGAAGAAUUCAAAUUUCCUAGCCAAAGAAAACAAAGUAUGCAAACUUAAAAAAUCUCUCUGUGGUCUUAAGCAGACUCCUAAACAAUGGUAUGAAAAAUUUAAUGGCACUUUGAUAAACAUUGGAUUUAAGGUAAAUUCCUCGGAUACGCGCAUUUAUUCAAAGAUGUCUGGAGCUGAGUGCAUAUUAAUAUGUCUAUAUGUCGAUGACAUGUUAAUCUUUGGGACAAACUUGGAUUUAAUAUAGGACAUCAAGUUGUUCCUAUCAUCACACUUUGAAAUGGAAAACCUAGGUGAAGCAAACAUAAUUCUUGGAGUUAAAAUUAGGAAAAAUGAAAAACGGUUUAUCCUUGUCUCCAUCGCAAUACAUUGAGAAUUUACUAAAGAAAUUUGACUCCUUCGAUGUCUCUCCAUUGAAAACUCCCUAUGAUGCUCGUAAACAUCUUAAGAAGAACAAAUGAGAGAGUGUAUCUCGACUUGAAUAUGCAAAGAUCAUUGGUAGUGUUAUGUAUUUAAUGAACUACAUUAGACCUAAUAUUGCAUAUGUUGUCAGUAGAUUGAGUAUAUACACAUAAUUCUGAUAAAUACCACUGGGAUGCCUUACACCAUCUGUUGAAAUAUCUUAAAGGAACGGUAAAUUAUUGUUUGCACUUUAGUAAGUUUCCUGUUGUGUUAGAAGGAUAUUGUGAUGCAAACUGGGUUACAGAUAAUGAUGAGGUAAAUUCUACUAAUGGGUACAUAUUUUUCUCAGAGGAGGAGCAAUAUCUUGAAAAUAUGCAAACCAUACUUGCAUAGCCAUAUCCAUUAUGGAAUUUGAGUUUAUAGCAUUAGAGCUGGCAGGACAAGAGGCCGAGUGGAUUAAAAUUCUGGCAGAUCCUUUAACCAAGUGACUAUCAAGAAAAAUGGUUCUAGAUUCCUCAAUAAACAUGGGACUAGAGCCAUUUGGAGAUCCAUAGCACUUGAUUUUGGGUGGUCUAUUGAGAUAGACUUGAUGCUCUACAGCCUCUUAUUAGGUGGUCUGGUGUGACAGACUUGAUGGUUUAUAGCCCAUUUGUGCAGGCAGUUCUUUAUGGACUAGAUGGAUGCUACUAAAACCUUUAAGUGAUCCAUAAUUCUAUGGACAAUGGUGGAGUCUCUAUAGCUCUUAUUGAGUGUUUUGUUUUGGCAAACUUGAUGAAGCAUAUAACGUGAUUGUGAAGGUGGGGUUGCCUUCUAUGAAAGAGUUUAAGGACCUCUUUCUAGAGUUUUCACGAUGAAUCGAGGUUCAUUCUAUAUGCAUUGCCAUAAAGGCACAAAUCCAUAUUGUAGAAACGAUGACCAAAACUAGAAAUAAAGUGUGUCGUAAGGGUCUCAACCAGUGUUGAAGAAAGUUCAAGAUCUAAUUUCACUCUCUUUAACAAGGUUAUUGCCUUACUUCACUAUGCAUCAAUUCAAAUAUUUGGGUAUUGAUGUUUAAGCUUAAUGUCCCAUCCUUGCUCAAUUAACUUUCUCUCGACUAUUUUGUAACUUUGUCGCUACAAUCUUUUAUGGGAGAUUGUUGGAAAAGCUUGUGCGCCUUUGACCCAAUGCAAAGUUACCUCUAUUGUUGUCCCACAUUGAUAAAGUUGGAAGAGGCAAAUGAGUAUGAAUAGUUAAGUGCCACUAAAGGAAUACAAAUUGUGUUGAUAGUGAUAAUAUGACUCUGUCACCAUGCAUGUCGUUGUCCGUUUGGUUGGAUGGGUGGGCAGGCUUGGGCAACUGUGCUUGCACGAAUAAGGAUGCAAUUUUUUAUACUCAUCUCAAUAGUGAUGCAGUUGCUUAAGUCGCAAUUCGGGUCGAUCUCUCCUCCAUGCCUCACUUUUAACAAAAUUUAAGAUGGUAGUUGAGGGGGACUCCAUUAUAAAUAAAGCCCUCCUCCAGUUCAUUUCAUUCAUUCGAUGUACACUCUCCUCCCUACCUUUCUCUCUACCGAUACAAAGUUCUCCUCCCUACCUUUAUCUCUACCAAUACAAAGUUUUGAGCAAGAUCCUUCAUCGUUUCUAUUUCUAUUUUCUGACGAGUGCACAUCAGAAGUAGGGAGCUAUGUUAACCUUGGGGAGCAACUGACAUUAUGAUUAGCACCACGAUCUGGUCGAAUUUUCUUUUAGGGCAGUGAUUCAUCACGGUGCAGCAAGUCAUUUUGAUCGUCAUCCACGUAGAUUUUACAACACUUUGUUCAUCACGUGAGCAAUCAACUUUGUAUGGAUUGUGUCGACUCUCGUCACAAAUCCUCUCAACACACGAGUCUUUUAUCUUCAUUUACAUUUAAUCUUUCUAUUUGUUUCCAUAUUCGAAUCACAAAUUCAUGUGAUGGGUUGUUGUGUAUUAUUGAGGGAACAAAAUAUUAUAGUAGCUACUAUAAUAAAUCUGAUGACAAACCAAUAUGUUAUACUUUCAGAAUAUGAAGAAUGUUUGUACUUCAAAUUUAGAUUAGAAUUCAGUUCUAAAUCAAAUGAGUAUAAGUUAGCAAGAAUUUUCUCAAAAAAAUAUUUGCACCCUUGAAAUUAACUUUAGGAAAAUGAAUGGAGGCAUGCUAGUUAUUUGCCUAUUUUGUAUAUCGAUAAAGAUGAUGUUUUAAAUAACUGGCUGAUGUUAGCUAAUGAAUUAUGGACGUUAUGGUUUGUAGUUGACAAAUCGACAUGUCUACAGUUGUCUUAUUUAGAUGAUAUUUUAUGGAGGGACUGCUUUGUGAGAAUGGAGAGAUUUUGUGUCUAUUUAAUCAAAAUUAUUUGUUUUUAUAUGAUUUAAAGACCCAGAAAAUUGCAAAGACAUAUAAAUGUGAGGAGUAUUUAUCCUUUUAUGAGAUUAAGUCCAUAAAUUUUGAUUCGCAUCGCAAUAUCUUUGAAAAGUACUUCAUUAGUUAGGUUGUAUUGUAAAAUUUUUAUGUUGAAUAUAAUUAGUUUUGACUUACAAUUUUUAAAGUAGGUUCUUAUUUAAAAUUUAAUUUUAUUUAAAAUUUAAUAUUUUGUUUUUAUAUUUUUCAUGAAUAUGUUAACGAAAAUCAUUAAAAAAUAUAUAAAAUAUACAUUAUAAUAUAUGUGCAUAUUUGUUUCAUAUUAAUUUUUUUUAGUGAAGGGACAUAUUUGUUUCAUAUUAUUAAUUUAUUAAAAUAUAUAACUUUUUUACAUUUUCUAAAUUCAAAUUUUAAUAUCAUUGUUUAAGAGAUCUUUUAAGAAAUAGAACAAAGCAACAAAACAUUUAUACCGUAUAGGAUAAUUUUGAAAGCGAAAAAAGUCUACAGGCCCACGAUGAAAAAUUCAAAAAAUACCAUGUGAUUAAUUGACAUUCAACGCGGAAACAAUCGUUUACAUUUGGCUAUUCUUCCUUAAACGGUCGUUUAGAUUUAGAUAGCCAAAACUAAAUGAUUAUUUUCAAGAUUUUUUUAAUACGCGAUCGUUUAGAUUUGACACACGAUCGUUUAAUUUAAUCGUUGUUUAAUUUUUUUCAAGAUUUUUUUGUACGCAAUUGGAUUUGACACACCAUUGUUUAGAUUUGAUUGUUUAAAUUAGGGUAGCAAAUCUUCAAGAAGUUUUUGGAAUGAUCGUUUAGAUUUAACUAUUUUUAUAAUAUUUUAAUAAUAUGAAACAAAAAUGCACUCAUCGAAAAACUUGAAGGAGAUAAACAGAACUAAAAAGAAUGGACGGAGAGAGAUCAGAAAGUGAGAGAAAGAUCGAAUUGAAAGAGUAUAUUAGAAGAAGUUUUGACUAAAAUCACUAAAAGAAAAAUAAAUAGAAUUUUUUUAUUAGAAUCCUACGGUUGAAUUAAUUUAUAUACCAUAUUUACAAAGAUAUAUAAUAAAUGACCAUCUUAAAAUUAAAUGAAAAUAAAUAUACUAAAUAACUAAUAGACUAAAUAGAAAAUUUUAAUAUAAAUAAUAGAUGUGGAAUAAAUUAUUUAUGGGAAUAAAUUAUAUAUAUUUUAGAAAAUAUGUAAUAUUUAAAAUUAAUGUGAACUACAAAUCAAUCCAUAAAAAUAGUCAAAUCUUGACAUUCGUGUAAAAUUCAAAUGAAGUGUUUUCUCCUAUUUUUUCUAUAUUUAAUUUGAAAGGUUAUUAAAAUAAUUUUAAAUUUAUAAGCAUUCAAAUUGGUGAACGAUUUUAUUUUAUUGAUUUUGAAAAUAGUAACUGUUGAGCAAGAAAUUUCGACCAAUUAAAUUCUGCCACAUCAUCACAACAAAUAUUCAAUAAUUAUAUUUUGUUGGAUUUUGGUAAUUAAGUUUACUCAAUCCAACCCAACUCAAGUCCAAUAAGCAGAUUAGCCAAGGCCAAGCUCAACAAGCAGAUGAACUCAAGCUCAAUAAAGCAAAUGGGCCCAAGCUCAAGUCCAAACUCAAUAAGGCAAAUGAGCUCAAGCCUAAGCCCAAUAGGAAAAUUGGUCAAAGUCCAAGCCCAAUAAGCAAAUUGGCCAAAGCCCACCUAAAGCCCACAAAAUUUCUCUAUAAAUAGAGACAUUUGUCAUUCAUUUGAAGAGGUCUUUGGUUGAAUGAAGAAUUGAAGCUCUGAAGUACUGAAGAAUUGAAUAUUCAAACUUCUAUAAAGCUCUCAAGACGUGCAAGUUCUUAUCAACUUCGAGAUCAUCAUCUUUUGAAAGAUUGAAGACUUGGAAGAUCAAACUUUUCUUGAAUUCCAGAAGACUGAAGCUCAAAUAGACGUGCAACUAUAACAUCCUAAAGAUCGAAGAUCGAGAAGUUCUAAGUUUUAACUUGUAUUCGAGAGAAAGCAUCAAAUGAGUAAAUACUAGAUAUUGUAUUCACAAUAUUCAAUAUUUAUCAAUAACAAAGUUCAAUUCCACGAAAUACAUUUUUUCGAAAUCUCAUUUGAACAAUUUGGCACGCCCAGUGGGAUAAUCUCUAACUUUCAUCUCUUUCUCAUUUGAAGAACAUCUAAAGAUAUCAUGACAUCUCAAGGCAAUACUUCCAAAGCUCCAAGUGACAUCGAAAAGCAGCCAAAUAGUCGUGGCCGCUCAAGGGAGACUCAAUCAUAUGAGGAAAAUGUCAUCCUUUGAGGCCACAAAGAACAUUUGGGAACAACUGUCCAAACCACCAAAAGGUGGAAUUAUAAUCAAAGAAAAUCCUUUGAUUGACGAACAAAUUUUCUCCUAUGAAUGCUCGAAUGAGGAGAUGCCUCAUCCAAAUAUCAUGUCAGUUAUGGUGAUUGGCGUGGAUACAAAUGAAGACAGAAUGGCUGAGCUGGAAAAGAAGAUCAACAUACUCAUGAAGGCCGUUGAAGAAAAGGAUAAUGAAAUUGCAUCUCUCAAGAAUCACAUCGAACGUUGUGAUGCUGCUGAAUCAAGCCAUACACAUACUGUCAAAAAUACUGACAAAAGGAAGGCAAUUAUGCAGGAAAGUCAUCCAUAAAAUUCGACUUCAAUUGCAUCGCUGUCUGUUCAGCAGUUAUAGGUAAUGAUUGCAAACUCCAUCAAAACUCAAUAUGGUAGACCUGCUUUAACUCCUUCUUUGUAUUCCAAACCAUAUACGAAGAGGAUCAACAAUCUCAAAAUUCAUAAUGGAUACCAACCACCCAAGUUCCAACAGUUUGAUGGAAAGGGUAACCUAAGACAACAUGUUGCUCACUUCAUUGAAACAUGUGAAACUGCUGGUACGAGAGGAGAUUUGUUGGUAAAACAGUUCGUUCGAACUCUAGAAGGAAACGCCUUCGACUGGUACAUCAACCUGGAACAUGAAUCCAUUGAUAGUUGAGAGCAGCUUGAGGGAGACUUUCUCAAUCGCUUCUAUAGCACCUGAUAUAUCGUCAGCAUGAUGGAAUUGACAAACACCAAACAACGGAAGGGGGAGCCAGUCAUCGACUACAUAAAUCGAUGGAGAGCUCUAAGCUUGGAUUGCAAAGACAAGCUCACAGAAAUUUCUGCAGUUGAGAUGUGCACCUAAGGCAUGCAUUGGGAACUUCUCUAUAUUUUGCAGGGGAUAAAACCACGCACGUUUGAAGAGUUGGCGACUCGUGCCCAUGAUAUGGAACUAAGAAUCACACGAAGAGGAGAAAAAGAUUUCUUGGUUCCAAAAAUGAGGAGUGACAAAAAUGAAAUUGAUGACACUAAAAUGAUUGCAAAUAGUGUCAUAAACGAGUCUCUGGUUGUUCAUGCAACCCCUUUGAAAUAUUUCUCUAAAAGAAAAAAACAAAAAUUAAAGGAAAGCGUGAUAGCGAGGAAAAACAACGCUCAAUUCUUAAAGAAAGACAUGAAAACUAGCAACUUAUUCAACUGCCAGAAUGCAAACGACCGGAACAAGCAGGAAAAGAAAGACAUGAAAACUAGCAACUUAUUCAACUACCAGAAUGCAAACGACCGGAACAAGCAGGAAAAGUAAAUGAUCCUAAAUACUGUAAGUAUCAUCGGGUCAUUAGUCACCCUGUUGGAAAGUGUUUCGUGUUAAAAGAGUUGAUUCUAAAGUUAGCUUAUGAAAAGAAGAUCGAGCUAGAUAUUGCUGAAUUAGUUGAGACGAGAAAAAAAAAAGGAAAAUGAAAAAAGGAAAAAAAAUACAUAUGAAAAAAAAAAUAGAGAGAAAAUAACUUGAAUUAAAAAAAAAAAAAUUCUUCGAACUGCUACCUUUAAAAAUGGUCAGCCAUUCGAAAAACUUUGGCUACUUUUGAGGAGCAAAAUAAAGUAACAGUGAUGAGGAAGAACAUAAUGAUUUUUGCUCUCAACUUUGUUCUCUAUUUAUAGGGUAAGAAAUGUAUUCAUCUCCAACUUCUCCUUCUACUUCUCAAUAAACCAACAAAUCUUGGAAGUUGAGAUUGAGUUGGAAGUUGGGAUUCAGUCCUAAUCUUUCUCUUUAUUUAAAAAACAUAUAUAAUAACAAAUUAAUUAAAUAAAUAAAAUAUUCCUUUUAAAUAAAAUUCUUCUAAUUAAAUACAUAAUUGAAAAAGUAUAUAUAUAUAUAUAUAUAUAUAUAUUUAUUUAAUUUCUCCAAAUAAUUUUACUUUUUAUUGUGUUCAAAAAUUUUAAACUUUAUUCGAAAGCAUAAAUUUAUUUCAAAUUCAAAUUAAAUAAAAUAAAAUAAAUUCAAAUUUUAAAUUUGGUAGCAAUUCAUCUUUAAGUAUCACAAGUUUUGCUACAAAUUCAAAUUAAAAGAUUGUGCAGAAAAAAAAAAAAAUCAAAACUUUGAACUUAAAUUGAUGAAUUGACAAUAUUCCAAUUAUAUCAUUUCUUUUUAAGUCUCAAUUAUCUCAUUAAAUUCAUGGGUAAAAAAAAAAAAAAAUCUCUUGGCCAUAUUCCAAAUGAUUUUUAUAUAUAUAGAAAAAUUGUGAAUUGAAUUUCAAAAUUCACCAAAACUUCAUACAGCAUUUUAACCACACUUAUGUCCAAAUGCAUAGUGUAAUUAAUUUGUUAUAUUAAUUGAAAUCAUAGUCAAGAAUAAAUCACUUAGUAUUUUUUGUUUCAGCUUAUCGUUUUCGAGACUCGUCCACCCAUACACGUGCACUAAUCUCGAAAGGGGGGUUGAGCAAGAAAUUUCGGUCAAUUAAAUUCUGCCACAUCAUCACAACAAAUAUUCGAUAAUUAUAUUUUAUUGAAUUUUGAUAAUUAAGUUUACUUAAUUCAAUCCAAUUCAAGUCCAAUAAGCAGAUUAGCUAAGUCCAAACUCAACAAGCAGAUGGACCCAAACCCAAUAAAGCAAAUGGGCUCAAGCUCAAGUCCAAACUUAAUAAGGCAAAUGGGCUCAAGCCUAAGCUCAACAUGCAAAUUGGUCGAAGUUCAAGCCCAACAAGCGAAAAAUGGGUCAAAGCCCACCUAAAGCCCACAAAAUUUCUCUAUAUAACAAAGUUUCCUUGAAUGAAGCUCAAGUAGACUUGCAACUAUAACAUCCUAAAAACCGAAGAUCGAGAAGUUCUAAGUUUUAACUUGUAUUCGAGAGAAAGCAUCACAUGAGUAAAUACUAGAGAUUGUAUUCACAAUAUUCAAUAUGUAUGCAUAUAACAAAGUUCAAUUCCACGAAAUACAUUUUUUCAAAAUCUCACGUGAACAGUAACUUGCUUGUAAUAGACAUAAAUUAGGUUUGUGUGUUUAACGAAAGCCAAACUAAGAGAACCUUGUGGAAAGAAUUAAAACUAUAUAAUAUAAACGUCAAGAGGUCUUGUUCAAAAUUUAAAUCACUUCUAAUUUUGGUUUACUAGCAGAUUAAAGUAUGACAAUGGACAUCUAAUUUUUGUUGAGGAACAUCAGUCAUGCGGGUCAAGUUUUCUAGUGCUUUGUUUUCCAUUAGCUUUUUCCCUAUACUUUUUUACAGGAUACUAAAAGAAAGGACAUCUUCUGCCGAUGUCCUUACAGAAACAUUAGUUUGAUUUUAGUUUGUCACAAUCUAAAUACAAAAAAGCUAAUGAAAAACAACAAAAAUGACUGAGAUCUAUGGUUAUCAACAGACAAUGUUAUGAUAGUAUUUUAGCUGGAGAAGAGAGCUCGUUGAUUCGUUACUGCCAGAUCUUGACACAGUCGUCGUGACUUGCUGAAGCAAUUAAACCAGUAGCAUUUGAUGCAGCCAAGGCUGUUACCAACUUCUCAUGAGCUUGCAAUGUCCUUGUCUUGUUUUCUGUCAUGUCCCAAAGCUCCAGUGACUGGAAACCAACAAUUCCAUUUGAAACAGAACAUUCUCAAUGUUAAAACUUUGGUGCUAAAUAAUAUCAGAAGACAAAAAGUGUGCAAAAUCAAUUGUAGUUUAUAUCAAGUAAACUUAUCCAGUAAGAGCAUUUGUCAAUACAUCUUAUUAUCACAUCAUUAAAUGUUUCUACUUGUCCAGGUGGAUUAGUAAUUUCAAGCAACAAUGCGCAAAAAUUAAAGAACUUAAACACAAACAUUAAAAGCUCACGUAGGCUCAAGUUAUGCAGAAUUAUCUAUUGCCCAUGUGCAAUAUGAGACUGUAAGCAUGAAACAACUUGAAAUGGCUUUUAAGGACCAAAGCAUUAUAGAUAUAUUAUUUGCUUUCCAGAGAAUAUUGCCAAUUUUUCACUGAAGAGUUGAUAAAAUAGCAUGUGAAAUUAAAUAGCAGCGACUAACCUCAUGAGAGCCAAUGAUCAAAACAGAAGUAUUGGUGGGAUGAAAAACACAAGUAUGAAAUGUGUUUCCAUUGCAGUUCAACUCAUGAAUGCAGUCUCCUUUGCUACCAGAACCAAAUUUCCAUACUUUAGCUACAUCGUCACUGGUAGAUGCUAGAUAUUCACCGGAUGGAUCCCAGCACACAGAAUGAAUUUUUUUUUUGUGACCCUGAAAUGGCAAACCAGAAAAUUUUGGUGAUUAAUGUGAAGCUAAAAUAAUGAGACAUUGACCACGAGUAUUGUAAGAUUUGUGAUUUUUCAUCGGCUUCUUUUACUCUUCUGACCUCACUUACCUUUUACUCUUCUGAAUUCACUCACCUCAGCAAACUUACGGGUCUAAGCUGUAGGUUUGAUUAUUCUAACAGCCAGGUGUAAACUGAACAACUACCAUUAAAUAUCGACCAUAGACUAAAUUAUACUCGCUUAAGCUUCCGUUUAUAAAGCAUACUUAAUAAUUUACUCCCUUUUCAAUUGUCUACAAGGUCUCAAGGGUUUGACAAUUAUGAAAUCAAAUUUGAUUGGUAUGCGAACAAUGAGUUGAUCUGUAUUGUGCAUAGCCAUGCUACUUCCUCUCGUAGCAAAGAGGAAAGUCGAAAUCAAGACAAAAACAAAAUAGGAAAUACUCACUCAAGUUCUCAUUUCAACAUUUUCCAGAUCAUACUAACAAUCAAUGAAUGAACAAGUUUACAUAUAGAGAAUUUUCUUUCUUCUAAAUCCUAAAUUUAAUAAAUAAGUAAACAGUUCACGAAAGGCAGAAUGUGGUUGUUACUAAUGUGCAUAUCCUAAAAUUUGAUUUUGCAAGUUUAUAAGGAAACUCAAAUCAUAAAAGAGUAAACUACACUAACAAACCUGUAAUCUAAGUCUGCAAACUUGGGUUUCUACGUCAAUUAUGGAAACAACUUUUCCCGCUGCUGCAGCAAGCGUUCUUCCAUUAUUCGGUUGAAACCUCAACUUUGUCGCACCACCCUGAUUUAGUUGUCAAACAUAUUAGUAUAUUGCGAUGCAAGAGGUUAUGUUUUAUAAAUAAAUAAAUACCAGGUGCAGUUUAAUAUGAAGAAAUCAUAAUUAAAGCAUGAGUUUGAGUUUAUACCUUAAAAAUGCCAACACAACUACCAUUUUUAAUGCUCCAGUACCUUAUCUCGCUACUAAUAUCAGAAGAGCAAAUGAGAUCAUCUUUACUAGGAUGAAAGUCCAAUGAUGCGACUCCAGUUGAAUGUCCAGUGAAAGUCCGAAGUGAUUGGCCAUGCUGUAAAAUGUCUCAGAGUCGUCAAUUAGAAAGAGUUGUUAUUCUUAAAAGCUUAACAAAGAAAAUUUUUGUUCUCUAGAAUGUUGUAGGCAGUUGUCAGACUAAAAGAAUACAAGAUAUAAUGGAUAAAGGCCAUUUGAUAAAAAAAGCUGGCUUGCUUACAUUAUCAACAUCCCAAACCUUGACAGUCCCAUCACCUGAAGAUGUUGCGAUCUUUAAUGUCCUUGGACUAAAGCGAACAUCAGUUAUCCAUUGUGAAUGUUCAUCAAGUGUAGACCUCACUUUAAAGGACUUUGUGCACCACACUGUAGCCUGCACCAUUAAAUUGUUGAGAAAUGUCCUAGAAACUAAACAUACUGCAUACAUACUUAAAUAAAUCAACAUGGUACCAUACUUAAUAAAUCAUCAAGAACAUUAAAAGUUUGAUCUGUAAGAGAUUUAAUAAUUUUGAUAACACACUUAAUAUGAAUAUAUUUAACCUUUUUGUCACUCCCACCACUGGCAAGUAGUUUUCCAUCAGAUGAAAAGCAGCAGCAUUCGACCUUUCUUGUAUUUGCAGGAAUUACAUGAAUUUCCUUCAGUGUGGGGCCUUCAGUUACACGAAAGGAUGGAAUAAGGAUGAAAAAUUUAAAACUGAAUUUCCUCGAUCAAAUUACAAUUACAGUCUAUUGGGAUAACAGACCUACAGUUACAGUCUCCUGCUAUUCUUAAAGAUUUCACCAUACCUUUGGUAGAGUCAGAAAGCAGACCUAAAUUAUCUCUCUCGUCUGAUUCAUUAAGAGAUAGGAAAGACUCCACAUCAUCUAAUGGUUCAUCAUCCAUGAGACAACCCAUAUCAGCCUGCCAUGUGUCAACUCAUUAUUUAAAUGCCAAAUUGAGCAUUAUUGUUCUCUCUUUAUUUGUUUAUGCUAAUUAGAUUAAUCAGUAUUAUCAAUGAGAAAAUACGUUAAUCAGCACCUAGAAGAAGAUGGCUGAGUAGAAAAGACUUAAGACUCGUAUGACAAACUUCCUUAUAUAACAAUAUGGUACCUUUUCUUACAAAAACUUACCACUACAGACUACAAACUACAUCAAUAAAAACUACAACACUAACUUCGAGAAAAAAAAAUAGAGCAGACAUAAUUGACCAUUCAGCUCUGCGGUGCAGGAAUCCAAGAACAUAUAUCUAGUAGACAAGAAGGUAAUCCAUAUCAAAUAUCAUUUGGGAACACAAAUGUGUAAGUUUGUCAACCUGAUUAUUAGCCUGAAAUUUAUUGGAUGUACAGCCAUCAACAUUUGUGAUCCCUGAACUGGUUAAUUUAUCCUGCUGCUGAAUUAUGUGAUUUGAGUUCUGAGAAUGUUGACUCAAAAUUGGAUGCUGCAAGAAUUGUUGCUACCUUUUAGUUAUCAAUCUUUAAUUGCUGCUGCUGUAGCUGAUGAAUGUUAAACACUGAUAUUUUCGUUAAGGGGGAAAAAGAAGAAAGAAAGAAAAAGAAAGACUUGACAAAAACAUAAGGGAGGCCCUGUUUGAUAACAUUCUGAUUUAAAUUUAUUGAUUUUAAGAAUUAAGCUUACUUGCUAGAAAAUUCUAUGUCUAUACUUAUACUUCCAAAAAAAAAAAAAAAACAGGACUGCAUCCAAGACCCUACUAUUCUUUGCUUUGCAAAUUAUGGAAAUAUAUUCACAAUUUUACAAGUUUGAUAUAGAAAUACUUCAAACAAACAAUUAGAACUAAUUUUAAGAUUUAUUGGAAGUAUGUAGAUCAAAUUUGAAAAGUUGGAAGUACUGGGACGGAAAUAGAUGAAACUCAAAGUACAAGGAGCAAAGCGGUAGUUUAACCAAAGAAAAAAAUCCAUACCUUGUUCAGCAUAUCAGCACUUACAUGUGGCAAAGCAGGAUGACAAACUGGUGCCAUUGAAUCAACAUCAGACAAAUCCAUAGAACAUAAAUGGCUAUCCUUCAUAUGGAUAUUUUGACUUAAAGGCACUCCUGGUCUUAUGCAUGCCACAUUGGCAGAAUCUACUCCCAGGUUUUGAGGUGCUUGAAAUAUAAAUUCAUGCUCCAGCUGAAAUCGACUGGAAGUAUGAGGCAAUUGGAUGAAUGAGUUGGGUUGUUGCUGUUGCCCCAAGCUUAGAGGAUCCAAUCCCUAAGAGCAGUAAAAUUAAUCAGAAAGGUCCUAAAUCUCACCAUAGUAUUAAUUUAUGAACACUUCUUCUUUGACUAUUUCGCAGGAAUGGCUACCACUAUAACCUAAUUGUUAUUUAACUUUCUUGGAAAAAGCAAUCAAAAAAUAUCUCUUUUCUCUUUUUCCUUUAAGCAUUUCUCCUCAUACUUGUCAAAAAACUUAAGAUGAGAUUCCUAGCAAGUGGUCAGCAAGAAGAUCUCCAAUAUUAGCCUCAUCUUCACUUGAGGGACUAAGUACAUGCCUCUUUAUGUAAUCUACACUAGUAACUCUAAAUCAAAUAUUAUUCUUGAGAAAAACAUAAAAUGCUGAUUAUUUUUUCCAACUUACAAUCUCCAAUAAACAUUUAUACAAGUUUGUUGAGAAUUUCUUGAAAAAACGAGACCUCAUGUUUUUUAUAAGAUAGAAGAGUUACACCUUUCAUUAUUAAUUGAAUUUAAGAUGAAAUUUCAUGUUUAUCUAAUAUGGUAUUAAAAGUCAUAAAGUUCAUACACCCAUAUUCCAUUAGAAGAAAAAAUGGAUUUGAUUAAAAAUUGGUAAAUUCAAAGAGGCACCACCUUGAAGAGGCAUAUUUAGAAUUCUACAUUAAAUAAACGAAGAGAUCUCACACUUUUUAUAGAAUACAUUGGCUAUUUCUCUUAUUACCCGUGAUUUUGAGAUAAUCUCAUGCUUAUUUAAUAAGGUUCUUCAAUUUUUUUUUUUUUUUUAAAAAAGAGUACAACAAUCGGUAUAAGGAGAAUGCAUAUAAUUUACGAGCAUCGAGUUUAAAUAUGCAUACCGAUGAAGGCCUUCCAUUCAAAGGCAAACGACUAGUGCCCGGAUUUGAUCCUGAAGAACCAAGAAAGCAUCAUAAUGAAUUAAGGAAUGCUUGGGGUGGGAGGUUAAUCCAAACAUUUUGUUGAGUAACAAAUAAUCCCAAAAAAGUACGGAGGCUAUGAAGUAACUCCGGGCACUUUCUAAUAUGAGAUUACAGAAACCACUAUCUGAACUACUUGACAAACACUAUCAAAAUUCUAAAAAUGUUAUUAGUUUAUUUCAGUUUUAGCAGACUUUCCUUUAGUCGUUUUUGCUCGAAUAAUACUAUUGUACUUUGAACAUUGGUCUCUUUUAUUAUUAAUAAUAAAGAGACUUAUUUCCGUUGAAAUAUAUAUAUAUAAGGUUUUAGUUAAAUACUAUUCAAUUUUCAUUUUUUUUUACAACUUUCAAACCAAUUCAAACAUAAUUCCUGAAUCAGAUAUGAUGUAAUAAAUGUAUAAUAAAGAGGCUUGUUUCCAUUUAGAAAUAUAUAUAUAAGUUUUUAGUUAAAUACUAUUCAAUUUUCUUUUUUUUUGUUGACAACUUUCAAACCAAUUCAAACAUAAUUCCUGAAUCAGAUAUGAGGUAAUAAAUGUCCAAGGAUUAAAUAUGGCAUUGGUUUUUUCUGGUCCUUUUUUUUUCUGUGUGCGUGUGUGUUUAAGGAGAGGGAGGAGUUUUUGAGAUGAAGGAAUGUAUCAACAAAGUCAGAAAUUUCCUAUCUAUAUAUAUUUAUAUUUGAAAAAAGGAGUACCAGCAAUUCCUUCAGCCGUGCUAACUCUGGUGUUCAUACUUGACUUCAUCUCCCCUUUCAAUUUCUGUUUCAACACAGCAAAAUAAAAAGUUACAUCUGAGAACAUGAGAGAGUGGAAACAACAUAUUUUCAUAGUUGAUUAAUAAUUACUUUGGACCCUGGAAGCUGUUGACUCUGGUAUUGAGUAUCGAUACUAGUUGACUUGUACCCAGAUAUUUGGCUCUGGCUAGAAAACCAAUGUUCACAUACAUUAAACAUGAAACAAUUAAAAGUAGUAAGUAUACCUUUAAGAAUAAAACAGAAAUAGCAGGACCCGAAAUGUUACGAGAGACACCUCAGAGGUUGAGCAUUCAUGGCAGAUACUCCAAACAUUGAGCCUGGACGCUGGCUUACAUGUUUGAGAAAUCUUUUCUGCGAGAACAUUUACUUGAAUAUCGAGGAAAAAGGCGAAAAUUAAAUUACAUUGAGAUCUUCAAGAAUACCUUUGGGAGCACAUUGGCUAGUGUAUCUCUUUGAAUAGGGAGUGUAAAAUUCUCCUCAUACAUUUUUGCAGCCAUUUCAUUUGCAACUGAAGGGUUCUGUAUAUUGAGUGAAUUGUUCAAAACAAGCCUAUUAGCAAUUGGAGUAGAACUCUGCUGAGUCUUCUGUAAAUAAUGUUGUUGUUGUAACUGCAAAUCUCCAUCCUUCAGCAACUGAGACUGUCGAAUCCAAAAUAAACUCAAGUUAUCAAGAAAUACUUAUCCAAUCUGAUACAGAUAUCAAUACAUGAAAGCUGCAUGCAUUAAGGGAUGUGGCAACAUGACAACUUUGGUCAACUAUUUUGUCUGAUGCAGCAUUCUUCCUCUUCAUGGAACACUCGGAGGGGGAACUAAUUCAGCUAAAAUCUAAAUAGAAAACGAACCUUGAUGUAAGAUGUAGCAGCUUCUGAGUGCUGUGGGUUUAUGCGGGCAAUAAAUAAAUCCCAGAACACAGACCACCAUUCCAAAAGGAAACCACCCGGAGCAUCAAAAGCUGCAUAAUGGGAUUCAAAACAGAAGGCAAAGUAAGCUACGGAUAUAUGGAAGUCAGUAGAUACACUGGGUUUGUAUUACAGUGAUGCAUAACACAGUCUUACCCACUGGAUCCCUAAGAAUUUUUCCUUCAGCCAGAAAAGACCUUGCAGAAGUAUAUAGUUUUCUCUUCAAGAGGUAAUCAUAGAUAUAAGCAUCCAGCCUGUGUCCAAGAAGAACGAGAAUAAACCACAGAAAGAUUGGAAAACACACAAACGUUCCACCAAGUUUUUAAAAAAAUCAUGGCAGAACUACGAGACUGAAAAAAAAAAAAAAAAAACUACCAGGUUGAACUACAGAGUCUAAUCAGUUUCAGCAAUAAUAUAUUUAAUAUUCUCGUUUACUGAAACGUCAAACUGUUUUUCAAAUUCCUCAUCUCUCAUCUUCAAUCUUUUUCUAUAUAUGCAUUACUGUUAUUUGUCUCUCAUCAGAAGAACUCGUCCAUUGGUCCAACGCCAAUAGUAUACAAAAAUAUAUAAUACUACAGAUCUCCUAUUGAUUAUUUCUACAUGAUCAUAGAUAAUCAACCGUAACUUCAUUCUUUCAAAAAAAAGAGAUAAAUAAAAACAAACAGUAACUUCAUCUCAAACAGCCCCAUGAAAAGUCACGCUACUGUUACAAGCCUUCUUGUCCCCUGGUCUAACCAAUAAUUUACAUGGGAAAAAGUGGACAAAUAAAAUCGUACAGAUGCCUAGGAGCCUUAAAGCCCUAGUAUCCACCAACUCAACAAACAAACAACAAAAAAUGCUGCCCACUCAAAACCAACGGGAGCACAAACUUGAAGAACAGAGCAUUAGAGCAAAACCAAGUGGAAAUCGUGUGUUCAAGAAGCAGCCAACAAAUGGGUGAGCCAUUAUAGAGUAUAUUCGAAUCCCCUCCACAAAGAAAGAGAAAAAAACAAAAAACCAAAAAAAUGGGCGAAAUGCCCUUUCCAAAAGGAGAACAAGUGAAUAUUCAAAAUGGGUAACACCAGUUCCUUGGUACAACACAGGGAGAAGAAGAGAAAAGCAUCACACAGCACCUGAAUCAGUAAAAACCAAACCCCACCAAAAAAAAAAAAAGAGAAAAAAGAAGGUAUGAAACCCAUAGAGAUUCAAUGAAGGACAGAGACAGAAGAACAAAUCAAAGGAAUAGAAAAACAUGGAAUAUGGUAAUUAUCAAUGCAACAGGAAAACUUAGGUGCAUGGUACUCGCAUUAUUUUAUCAACAUCAUCCAACAAAGCUUGGGACAUGAUUACAGUAUUAUUUGCUCCCGCCGGAAGAAGAGAAACCGGAAAGAAACCGACGAAUAAUAAUAAUAAUACUCAGGAAAUCACUCUUGGGUUUCGAGAAAGUGUUUUUUUAGAAGAAGAUGAGUAAUUGAAAAAUGGGUUUUAGUGUGAGUCCACUUUGUUCCAUCCCUCCUAAUUCAUUUAAUUUCUCCGUACCAUUGUGCUGCGGCGACCCCCAUUGACACGCGUAAUUGCUCCGUGAAAAUGGAUCCUUUUUGUUUUUUGCUUUUACAAAUAAAAGCGGCAUGUAACAGAGGGAUGAUGCCUAUUGCCUCUACUAUACCUUACUGCCUAAGUUUCUGAACUUCCAUGGGGUCAAAUUUUAUGUGUCAAAUUACAUAUUUGAUUCUGCCUCCCAUUUUAAUGAUCCAGUCUAAGCUAGGUUGGUUUAAAUCAUUCUUAGAAAAAAGUAUAUAUUUUUUUAGGGAAAUUUUAGUAUGAACUUUACUUAGAAAUUUGAUUGUUUCUAAUAAGUUAAGAAUUUCUUUUUCAAACUCUUUUAAAUUACUAUUAUUAUUAUUAUUAUUUGUUUUUGAAGAAGGUGGUUUUAAACUACUAAAUAGAGAGGCCAUGGACUAAUAUUUAGUAAUUUAAGUAUACUUUGUAUUGAAUUUUAUAUGUAAUAGAAAAAUUGGAAUUGACGGCUAUUUUAAAAAUAAUAAUUAAAGAUAUAGCAACCUUUUAAAAAAUUGUAAAUAUAGCAAAACUAUCAUCGACAGAUUUGUAUCGUCGAUAGACUUCGUAUGGUCUAUUGCAAUAUAAUAUAUCGGUGAUAGACUUAUAUUGUUGAUGAAUUUUACAAAUUUUGCUAUAUUUAUAAUUUUUUUUUAAAUGUUGUUAUAUACUUAAUUAUUUUGUAUCUAAUUGCCAAAUUGUAACGUAAGCGUUAUAAAUGAUUAUCAGACGGGAGAGAUGUAGAGCAUUGUUUUUUUUAGUAUUUAGACCACAAUUUGAGUUGGACACUUAGAAAACAAAAUUCAAAACAAGUUAUAAUAAUUAAGUUUAUAACACAAAAAUUUAAUUUAAUGAGGUAUUUGUAAGAAUAAUAAAAUUGAAGGCAACAGUUGAAAGUAUAGAUAUAGAAAAAUAGGUGGGAAUAAGAAUUUUAGCAAAAUAAUGGAUGCACAUGUAUGAUUUGAUAAUUUUUAGUUUCAAAUUUUAAAUGCGUCAAUAUUGAUAAGAUGAUCGAAUUUAUGAAACAAUUGCUUAUGAUUAUAUCCUAAUCAAAUCAUUCAUGUAUUUACUGUAAAUCUUUUGAAAUCUCUAUCCUUAGUAUCCUCAAUUACUUGGUGAACUAUAUUCUAAUUGAAUCUCUAUUUUUAAUAAAUCUUUAUAGAUUUAGUUAAUAAGUUUUCGAAAAUAUAUAUUUAAGUAAUUCAUAACAUCUAUGGCGUUAGAUUUAAAAAAUAUUUAGUUUUAGUUAGAUUUCAAAAAGUGUUUGUUUAUCUUAUUCCUCUCUGUUAUGAUUUAAAGUUGUAUUAAAUUUUAUACUUAAUAAAUCUUUAUAUAUUUAUUUUCAAAGUUUCAAAAAUAUAUAUUUAGAUAAUUGUUAAUAUCUUCUGUAGUAUAUUUAGAUAAUUGUUAAUAUCUUCUAUAGUUAGAUUUCGAAAAAAAAAACGUAUUUUUAAUAACAUUUCGAAAAUGUAUUUUAAUAAAAUUUCAAAAUAUUUAUACUUAUUUUAUUCGUUUUUAUUGUUUUAAUGGUGUAUUAAACUAAUUUUUAGACUAUAUCUAAUUUGUAUGUUAAUUAUAUUCUAUGUAAUACAUCUUUUUAACAUUUUUAAAGCUUGAGUGUGUUAUACAACUAAAGAAUAAUAAUGAAUAAAAUGGCAACUAAUAAGUAUUUUUUAUGGCUUUACAACGAGUUUUUUUAUGGUAAAUGGAUUGAAAUUUUCCAAUAUCAUGAUUAUUCUGUUGUUGAUGUGUAUGUUCCAUAAACUUUUUCCAUCCUCCAAUCCAUAUGUGUCUCGUUUGACAGUUUACUUAGAUGGUUGCAACUAUUCAAACCUCAUUUGUUAUAAUAUACUCAACAGUGAACUACACCUAGUACCUAGAGUAUUUAAUGAUUCUUCGCAAUGAAUUAAAUAGUAAAUACAAGGUAUUUUUUAUUCUUCUUUUUUUGAAUGGUAAAGUUUUCUUAAAUUCUUUAAAAUUUAAGUAUACUUUUGUUAAUACACUAAUUUAAAUUUAAGUAUACUUUUGUUAAUACACAAAUUUAAAUUUAAGUAUACUUUUGUUAAUACACUAAUUUUUUUCCUUAUCUUGAGUAUUAAAAUUUAUUUUUCAAUUUCAACAAAUGGAAAGUAUUUAUUUAUAAUUGUAAACCAAUUUACAAGAUAAAGAUUUUUUUGUUGUUAAACUAUUAGGUAUUUUGUGAGUGUUUUUUAAAUGUAAAGUAAAAAGCAUAUUCGUUUUAGAAAAUAAAAUAAAUUUAUGUUAUUUAGUUACUAAUUUUAAAAGAGGAAAAACUUGUCUUAUAAAUUUAAAGAUUAUUUGUUAUUCACACUUAAAAAGUUGAUGGGGUUUGAAAUUUGUUAGUAUUCUUAAAAUUUGAGAUUUUUCUAAUUUACUAUCUAUUUAUUAAUCAUUUAUAUCAAUUUAAUUUAUUAAUAAUUUAAUCUGUUAUUCAAUUGAAGUUGUUGGAAUUUGAAAUUUGAUCUAUUUUUUAACUUGAGAUUUUUCUUAGUCAAAAUGGUAAUUUAUUAUCUAUUUAUUAAUAAUUUUUCUUAGUCAAAAUGGUAAUUUGUUAUCUAUUUAUUAAUAAUUUAUAUUAGAAAAUUAUUAUUUAUUUAUUAAUAAUUUAAUUUGUUAUUCAAUUGAAGUAGUUGGAAUUAUUUGAUAUUUGUUGUUUUUUUUAAUUUGAAUUUUUUCUUAAUCAAAUAGUAGUUCUAGUUAUUUGUUGUUAAUGAAAUUUUUCGUUUUCUAAUAAUUUGAAUUUUUUUAUUAAAAAUAUUUUUUUGGCAUUUAAAGUUGUAGAAACCGAAGCUGAACAAAAGAAGAAGAAGUAAAACAAACUUUGUUUCUACAAAAAUCGAAGUUGGAAGCCUUUCUUUCAGUUGAGAGGAUUUUCUGUGAACGGUUGCUGCUCUUUUGAGGGUUAUGGUGUCUGAUGCUUUACAUCAAUGGAGAUGAAGAAGACAAAUGAAGAAAUGUUUUGAAAUUGGCUUUAAUGGAGAUAAAGAAGAAGAACAAGUUUGAGGGAAAAUUAGGGAUUUGAUAGCUUUUAAUUGCUUUGGUUGUUUUGGUAGGGUAAAGUUAGGGGCUUUUAAUUACUUUGGUUGUGUUGGUAGGGUAAAGUUAGGGGAGAGCUGAAAUGAUUGUGGUAGGAGAGCCUGAUUCAAUUAUAGGGUAUUUUGGAUUUUGGAAUAAUUGUAAUUGGGAUGUGAGUUUUUUUUAUCACUAGAUUAGAGGUAUUUGAGACAUUUUUGCAGCCGUUUUUUUCCCAUCUUUUACAAUUUUGUUAUAUUAACAAUUUAAAUUGUUUUUUUCCAUUUAUCUAAAGUAAACUUGUAAAUUUGCUAAUUUUCUAGUCAGUCCCAAAUUUAUUGUUUGCAAAAAUGGCAAAAACAAAGCCCAACCCACAUAUACAAAAUGUAAAAUGUCAUAAAUGUCCUCAUUACUGAUAUUCACUUAUAUACUUGAUACACACCUGAUACACCUAAUGUCUCUUGAUACACCUGAUACUUCUUGAUAACCUUUGAGCCUAAUUGAUAUACUUGAUGCAUUGUGAUACUCUUUGAUACACUUGAAACACUUUAAUACACCAAAUACUCCUUAUUACACUUGAUUCUUUUUAAUACACACUACAAGAAAUUGAGGCUUUGCCGACACAACUGUGCGUCGCCAAAAAGCCAUUGUGCGUCAGUGUAGCAUUCACCGAUGCAGAGUGGCACGUCGACAUGGGCGUCGUAAAUUAUGUGUCAUAAGAGGUAAUAACAAUUCAGGAAUGAGACAACAUCGAUGUAGGACUUUAGCCGAUGCAUGAUUUACCGACAAGGUCAAUACGUCAUCAAUACCCUAAUGUUGGAUGUUAGGUUAGAGCGUGGACAAAGGGUGUUUGCCAACACGACCAACGUCGGGUCAACGGGUUGGCAAUACCCUAAUGUCGAAGUAGUCGUGUAGUCGUGGAAGUUAGGACCGACUUGACAUCGGCAUAACUUUGUACGAUGCUGCAUCGUUAGAUGCAACCAUUCACGACGUGACACCUACGUCAGAAAAACCCUUUACCAGAUUUUUUUUAAAUAUUUUAUUACUUAAUUUCUUAUUGUUACUAUUACGAUCGAAUUUGAUUUAAAGUGAUUGAAAUUGUAAAACAUGUAACAUAAAAUUAAUAAAAUAUCAAAACAAAUAUAUAUUAAAAUAUUAAAAAAAACACACGUUUGUAGAUAGAAAAAUUACAUGAAUAACCUAAACUAAAAACAAAGAAGACUAAAAACUAAUCUAAGUGAUACAGAUGUAGUCCCCCAUGCCUUCCAACCUACAAUGACACAAAAUUAAAGUUUAAAUAUAUAUCAUCCCAACAAGAAAUGAAAGAACGUAAAAGUUCAAAAAUUACUUACAUCAAAUAAGGAAAUUAAGGUCCUCUCGUUGCCCGAGUGAGUUCUGCAAUCAUCUUAAUCUUUUCUUUCAUAUUCUGAUCACUUUUCUCAUGCCACCGUCUAUUUUCUUCUUCUACUUUCUGAAGACAAGUUUAAGCCCAUUAACCUCCUUGGUGUGCAUCUCUCACUCGUGGGAUAAUAUAGAGGAAGAACUACUAGCAGAAUGUCGAGACUUUGACCUAGGGCCCCAACGAAGACUUUUUUAGUAGUCUGAUCAUCUGCCCAAAACUGUCUUGUAUAUCUCUUCAUUAAAGAGUGGUUGAGAACCCUCUAAAGUGGGAUGAGACUAGAUGGCCAACAUUUGAUUAUGCAAUAAAAAAUUUAUGGAUUAAGUAAAACGUGUGUAAUAAAAUGUACGUAUAAAAUAAGACAAAAGCAUAGCAAAAACUUACAUGAGCAUCUGUAGCCGCUGGCAAAAUGAACUGGCCAUCCUGAGCAUGUGUUUCCUUGAACAACUCCAUCCGCUUGAUUGGAUAAUCCCAUUUUUCAGUGACCUCGUGCGCUCGUUGUAUAAAUAACUUGGCACCGCUACUGUGAUUGUAGGGUUGCUUCAACAUCGAUGAUUGCUCCGUCAUGUAAAUAAUAUCAAAAUGUUACAUAAAAAAAUGAACUACCAUUUAAAAACAUUAAAAGUUCUAAAUCGCCUGAAAUUAUCGGUAAGGUAGUGAUCGCAUAGAAAGUGUUAAUCUUCCACAUGAUUCCUCAAUCUGGGGGUGGGUUGACACCUACCUGUUCAGGAUCAUUGAACUUCUUGAAAUGGUGAUGGUUCUGCCCCCUGAACUCCUUUCAGGUGGCGAGCAUCUACUGCUUAACUAAUCGAUUAAGUGUUGGAUCUGUGAAAUUCAGUUUGAAAAAUUGCUACAAAAGAAAAGUACACACGAACUAGAAUUAUAUAUAUAUAUGCGCGGUAGGUAAUUAAAAUCAUGUAUGCAUGAUUUUAAAACUUACCUAUAAAGAGCCCUUCACGAGCUCAAUAUAAUCUGCCGUAAUGUUAGUCCACUUUAAAAAGUGAACUGGAAAGGUAUCCCACGUUACCACACAGAUGGUACAACUAAAGCGAACGAUGUAUGGGAAGAUUAGCUUAUUCAAUACUAGAGUGAUCGAUAUGGUUAUCUUUCCAUUUUGUGCAACAUAUCGCUCUAACUCCACGCUUUUUGAGUGUUCGUGUCUCUUAGGAAUGUGAGCUGUUUGAUAGCCAUUUACAAAAACAUAAUAGUUUUAUAAACUAAACUCGAAACUUAUGCAAUUAAUUGUUUAUGUAACAGUGACUAACCUUAUGUAUUGUCCACCGAUGACGAACCUCCUAUGUUAUUGAACUCCACGAUUAAAAUAAAAAAAAUCAUCGCUCUCACCUAAGUCGGUAGAAAAAUUAGACAUAGUAGUAUCUGAGGACAAUAAACCGAAAAUAAUUAAACAUAUGAGAGUACUUGAAACUGUAUAUCUAAAAACAAAAUAUAUUUAAGUACGUGAUUAACCAUUAUUAUUAUUUGUCAUCGCUGAUCUGCUUUGAAUAGAUAAUUGUUCAUCAUCAUCGUUAAUGAAGUCAUCAACAACAUGACGCACAAUCAGUCUUUCCAUGAUUGCGAUUGUAGGAUCAACGUUGCGUCUACACAUGGUGUUAUCCUCAAUGUUAUCAUCCACAUGAUGUCUGACAACGAUUUUGAGUAUAUUCAGUUGUUGAUCCUCAACAUCUUUGACUUUGGACACGUCCAAUAUACAUUUAAUUUGGAUCACCUGAACAACCUUCAAAUUGGCACCAUUUUUUGAGUCGUCGAUGUAAAAGACUUGAUGUGCCUGGAGUGCGAGAAUGAUUGGUUCCUCAGGAAACAAAAAACGAGACAUGUUGAUUGAUUAAUACCCUAAUUCAACGUGUGUUCUAUGGUUUUUGUUCUUGUCCGUGUCAAACCAUCUACACUUGAAUAGCCAAACACGACGUCCCAUCAAAUAUUAAACAGAAAUAAUUUCAUCCAAUACACCGUAAAAAUUAUUCUUGGCGCCUCCACUGACAUCUUUUCACCGACUACCAUGACUCUACUAUUUUCUAAUGUGCAUCGAAAAUCACGAUCUAUUGUGUGAAAUUGUAUGUCACCCAUGAUGCAUCCACUGUAAGAUCGAACGUCAUGUGAAGGUUCCAUCGCAAGUGAGAAGAAAUCAUCUGAAAGGUUUUCCCUUACACGCGUUUCAAUGACCUAAAAUUGUUUUGCUAAUGAAAAUAAGUCUGAAAUACGCCUCUAUUCAAUUCGAAAUGGAUUUAUGUACUCUAUAUACCUAAUUUCUAAAUCAAUCAGGAAAUGUCUGUUGAUGUAUUUUGAAUAAGUCUAGUUUGUUGUUUGCCUCACGACGUAUCAACCUCAAGUGUUUUCUAAAGUUCAUAGUUGUGAGUAUUUGUCACGAUUAUGACUUAGCAAAAAUCGUGUUAAGGGAUAUAUAAUGAAAUAUAGAGUUGAAAUUAAAGUAUGUACUUGGGGUACUCUACGAUUAUAUCUACAUUAUUGUUCAAGAUGUACCAAUAUAUCUAGCCUUUCUCUUUUUGUGAUAGAGAUUGCAAACUUCUCGCGCCUAAUGAUUGUACCUUAUGCAUGAACACACUUCAAACUGAUCAAGUACCUUGUCUUUGGGAAUGCUAUCAUCAUUUUUUCAUCUCGAAAAAAUUGAAUCUCAAUCCCACUUAGAUAUCUCAAACAAAAAGUACUUGUUUCAUUCAUCAUAUAUGCUUUGACAAUAGACCCCUCGGGACGUGCUUUGUUUCGAACAUACUGCUUCAACGUGCAUAGACUUCUCCCAAUGGGAUACGUCCAACUAUAAUGAAAUGGACCAGUGACUUUUGUUUCAUACGAUAAGUGAACAACAAGGUGUACCAUACGCUGAAAAAGGCAGGUGAAAAUAUUCUUUCCAAUUUGUAAAGUAUGAUAUGAUAUAUGCUUGCAAUUGAUCCAAAUUACUUUAUUGAAGAAAAAUUAUUGGCAGCAUUAAACCAUGGACAACUUUAUCAAAGAAGACUAAUGCUAGCAUACAAUAAGAAAGUUCACCCUCAAAGUUUUCUAGAAAGAAAUUUGGUGUUAAAAAGGAUACUUUCAUUUCAAAAGGAUCAUCGAGGAAAAUGAACUUCUAAUUAUGAAUGUCCAUUCAAAGUGAAAAAAGUUUUUUAAGGAGGAUCUUCUCUUUUAACCAAUAUGGAUGGUGUUGAGUUAAAAAAUCUCGUGAAUUUAGAUUAUGUUUGAAGAUAUUAAGCAUGAGGCAUUUUCUUAGAAAGUUUCAUAGUGUUGAAAGAGUUCAGGGGUACUUCUAGGAAACUUACAUUUAGUUCUUAGAAUGCUAUUUCCAUACGUGUAAACUUCCUCUUACCUCUCCACUUUGUACUCCUAUUCCAAGAAUCGUUGUUAUCUUUUCAUUUUUUAUUAUAUUUAUCAAACAUUUGUUUAUUUGUCAAUCAUUUCUUUUAUCCUUUCUAAAAUGUCAUUAAAUUAUAGUAAACAUCCAUUAUCCAUCAGUCUAUUAUUCUAUAUGUUGUUAAUUAACAAUGAUUCAAUACAACUUAUUGUAUUUGCAAACCAAGUAAAAGCUAUGAUUAUCUUUUGUUAAGACUUAAGGAAAUAUAGGUGCCUAUAAAUUCAGACAAAAUUUCUCCAUGGCUGUGAGUUAAACACAACGAAAAAUAAUUACAACUUUUGAACUUUACUCUGUCGCCAUGCACCUUACAUAGCACAACUUAACAUCCACUUCCAAGCGAUAACUCAAAGAGAUAACAAUAUGGUAGCGAAAUAGCUUAACUUCUUUUCUAUAUUAACUGAACACUUAAAGAGUUCAUACAAUACAAAUUACUACCCUUUAACUUUACUUUUCAUAAAAUAAAACCAAGAUUGGUCUUCUCACGUCCUUCUUCUUUCUACCAAGGUGUUGUUUUAUGUGCUAAGGUGUUCGAGUGUAUAAAGACUCUGAUUUCAUCUCUUUUUCUUUUCCUUUUUGUCAUCUUUAAUCCAACCAACGAUGCUCCUUGUGGUGGGUACCUAAAGGUGUAAAAGUGCAACUUCGUCAUUCUCCUCAGUCGUCCAACCACCUCUCUUAGGGGACUGUGUUUAGGGUUAUCCUCUCCCUAACUCGGCUCUUUAGUUCUUUGGCUUACCGAGUUUAGUAUCAUAAACCUGGGUGUUACUCUCGCAUUUCUUUCGAAUCAGGCCAUCUGCGCUAAAGAGUGAUACACUUACCAACUGGCUCCUUGGACGCUUGAUAAGAUGUCAUGGCUAGCACACCACAUAAGAGUAUAAAGUAACUUGGCCUUUCCUCCUUAACAAGGCUACAACGCUUGAGAAAAAACCUUCGCAUGGUUUCACCGUCUGACAACCUGAGGUGGGGAAAACUUAAAACAUAAGUCAAACGGACUUCGUGAGUGAUGAGUUUGAGAAAACCUUUUUGGAGAAAAGACAUGGAAUCCACAAUAAUAAGAUCAAAUCGCAUCAGAUAAAUCACAUCACAACAAACCACAACAACGAAAUCGCCAUUACAACAGGCGUACAAGCACCACGUGGUUAAAAUUAUCUCGCAAAUAAGUUCAUCACUGAGACUUGAGAUUCUCUCCUCACCUAGACCUGGGAUUCACACUCAACCAGCAUUACGCGAGUUACUUGAGAUUUUCCACUUGUGUCUCGUAAUACUCAAUCUUUCUUAGACUUGGAACUCACAUUCAACCAGCAUCUCAUCACCAUUUUGCCUAGACCUGAGAUUCUCCUUUCGCUAAGACCUAGGACUCACAUUCAACCAAUGUCUCAUCACCAUCUCUUCUUGACUUGGGAUUCUUCCCUCGCCAAGACGUUUCUAGUUAGCACUUAAAUGUAUCUUCCUUUAAAAACAACUUCAAAACUUGUACCAAAUAAGAGGAUGUAUGUCCCAUAUCCAUUACCUACUCUUAUUCCCAUGUCAUUUCCCUCGAUUCAAACAACUCCUUAAGAAUGCUUUAUAGGACAUUAGUAUCAUUAUAAUUUUUUGUUCUUUUUUUCAAAAUUUUGUAUUAGUAAGAAAAUAGAAAUAAAUUAGAUCAUAAUCAAUUUCAUUAAAAGUAAAUAACAAUUGAUGUCAAAUAACACAAUUACGUAAUAAUAACAUAACCAAUAAAUAUCAUUAGCAAUUUAUUUAAGAUAACAUUUGGUAUCAAAUAAUAAUCAUUGUCAAAUAACAUUCAAUAUCAUUAAGAUUCGUAUGAGAUAGUAAUAAUUUAGAAAUCAAAUCACAAUAACUACCAUUGUCGAUUAGUAUCAAAUAAUAAUAAGAUAAUGAUCUAUAUCAUUAUCAAUCAUAUCAAAAUAAAUGUAAAAUCAUUUUACAAUAAAUAUCAAAUAACAAUGAAUAUCAUGUAGUAAUGAAAAAAAACUAAUCAUAUAAAAAUUGUUAUAACCAACCAUUAGUAUCAAAUAACAAUUAGGUAUCAUUAAUGUCACACUGCCUUCCAGACCACCUACUCUUGACCCGAUAGAUCGCGUGAGGUCAACUAAUACCAUUUCUUACAUUGAUGAUACCUACUCACCCUAUUCCUUUAAUCUUUUAAAAUGUAGCAAAAACAUAAACUUCAUUCUAAUAUUAAGAAUAUUCAAGUGCAACGCAACUCAUUACAAUCUUUAAUAAGACAUAAUGUUACUUAUAAAGAUCUGACUUAUCUUGAUUUCUAUACAAUUCUCUAUGCAACCUCCAUCUUUCAUAAUGUUACUUAACUAUAAUAACUUGAAAUUUCUUCUAAGACGCUCGUUGACAUGGCAGCAACAAACUCAGCUCAGGGCAACAUGAUCCUUAACUGGAAAGUGAGAAAAUAUUUUGAAAGAGUAAGCUUAAAAUGCGAAAUGAGUGAUAUUUUCACAACACAAUUUCCAAAAUAGUUAUGCUCGUUGUUUGGCUUCAAACAUAGAAAUUAUUAAAACAUAGUACAAUAAAACCUUUAAAAACUUUUCGUAAGAUUCUUCAAACAUCAAUAACAUAUAGACAUAUUAUACCAAUCUCCUACAUAUAUAGUUAAGAUAUUACUAAACCUUUUUCCCAUAGGCAACAUAGCCUUUAGUGAUGUAAUCACAAUAGGCCCCUCUAUAAAGUUUUCACAUCAGUAAUAAGAUUGUGACCAUAUGUGCACAUUUAAUGGUAAUUGUAUAGUACUGGCAUAAUCCCACAAAAAACAUUUAAAUAAGCUCGUACCUUAGCUUGGAAACCAUAAACAUUUAAGAAAUCUUUUAAAUGCAAUUAAACUUGUAAAUUUCCUUAGAAAUCAUUUAGAGUAAAGUAUUCACAAACUAAUGUUGAUAAGCUUUAAACCGUGGAAUCAAACAACAUUUUAAAACCAAUUUUACUUACUCACUUGAUAAUUUCUUCUUUAGCUCGAGAAACUUCGACAAAUUUCACUUUUCUUGAAAAUAGAGUAUUUAUAUUCCAAUUAAUGCUUAAUAAUUGAAAAAUACCAAAAUUUCAAACAAAAUUGGUAAAACACCAAAAAAUGCCCAAAAUGGCCUAAAUGUCUGGUUGGCGCGAAGGGAUGGUCGACAGGGGGGCCGACGUGUGUCACGAGCAUGCUUGUCCAAUGUGUUGUUUGUCUAUGGCUACAUGCUCGAGCAUCCUCAAGUUACCUUAUCUUUAUGUUUUGUACUUAAUUUAGUCCAUUGCUUUCUUUUUGUUGUCGUCGACCUAGGGUAUGACGUUUCAGCAUUUUCAUAUGCAAGCCUACCAAAGCUAAAAAUGUUUAAAAUGUAUUAUAGAGAAGACAUAGUAGUUGAAUCCCCGACCAAGCCUUGUUGUACUCUUUGCAAUCUAAGCUUUCUUUGCAAUUGACUAUCUUUGAUGCUUUCUUUAACAAUGUUUUCAAUGCUUUUCUUUCUCUUUCAUGUUUUAUAAAACCAACUUCUCUCAAAACGUGAAGGGAGGCUACAUCAUAUUGCGAGUUUGUCCACGACUUUUGAAUUUCAUAUGGCUGACUUGUUCAUCGAGUUAGAACAAGUACCAUACAAUUGCUCGUCCCGUGUUUGAAAAGUUGGGAUUGUGACAAGUGGUAUUAGAGCUUUGUUAGCUCCUUGGCUAAGCGAGACGCAAUUAUGUCGACAAUUAAACAACUGUCAAAGUCGCAAUGUGAGCGACAAGCUGAGAUAGAAGUUCAAUUCUUAUAUCUGAGAUAAUUGCCAGACGAAAUAAGAUUUAUCUAGACUCGACUAGAAAGGUUGGAAAAAACAUUUGGAGAAACAGACACAUUAAAUGCCCGAGUAGACGGCCAUAAAUGAAUUGACACUAAGGGUUGAUUCGUUAGAACAUAAAACCCUCCAAGUGAGUAGUUUUGAAUAUGGAAGUAGCUCUUCAAGUUUUGUUGCACACAUGGAAGAGCAUGUUGAAGAACUUGAUUGUUCCCAGAAAACAAUGCUAUAGUUGUUCAGUAAUCUGUCAGACGACUUUAGAGCAACGAUAGAGAAAAUCAAGGCUGAGAUGACCGAGAUAAAAAUGUAAGUAAAUUCAACGAUGCGAGCAGUGGAGAAUCAAACCCCAAAUUAAGCAUAUAGUGUUUCGAGCAAGUUCAAGAUCCCAGAACCCAAAGACUUCAAUAGGAAUCGCAAAGCUAAAGAACUUGAAAUUUUCAUCUUUGAUAUGGAGUAAUAAUUUAAGGCUAGUGGAAUUAAUUCUGAAGAAACCAACGUGACAUUAGCCUUCAUGCAUAUGUCUGAUUAUGGAAAAACUAGUGAAGGUCAAAAGUGAGCGAUGUCCAAUAUGGUUGAUGUACCAUUGAUACAUAAGAAGAUCUUAAGAAAGAACUAAGGGCUCGUUCUUCCCUGAAAAUGUUGAAUUUAUUACUUGAAGAAAAUUGCAAGAACUUAAACACACAGGAACCAUCAAAGAGUAUGUUAAAUAGUUCGUCGAUUUUAUGUUGGACAUUAGAGGCAUGUCAGAAAAAGAUAAAGGAUUCUGUUUUGUAGAAAGGCUCAAGUCGUGGCCUAGGACUAAGUUAUAUGAACAAAAUUUUCAAGAUUUUGUCUUUACUCUUGCUACUGUAGAGAGAUUGUUUGACUACGGUGGCGACCAAAGGUUCCAAAAGAAGAAUGUCGAAACCCAAAAAUAGGAUCUCCAAGCCUAAUUCCCCAAUAAACUUCACAAACGAUAAGAAACCAUAGACCUCAAGCUCUAGUACAUCUCAAAAAGCGCAUCAGUCAAAUUCAAAUAAGACAAGACCUAUUUCUUGCUUCUUGUGUAAAAACCCCCAUCGUGUGGCCAAAUGCCUACACCGAGGCUCAUUGACAUCUUUGCAAACCUCCUUACAGUAUUCUAACGUCUAAAACACAAAAACAGAAAUGGAAAGGGAAGAUGAAGGGGACACCGUUCGAAUAGGUGCAAAAAAAAAGGCAUCUCACCAAAAGGAUGCUUUAAAAAAGAGACUUAUGUUUGUCGACACUGUCAUAGAAUCCAAACCCACAAAGAGCACCAUGGUACACUCAGGUGCAACUCAUAAUUUUCUUUUUGAACAAAGAGCACGUCGAUUGGAGUUGAAAAUCAAGAAAGACACAGGUAAGAUGAAAGUUGUUAAUUCUGAAUCCUUGCCAAUUUUUGGAGUAUUGAAAAGGAUAUCUCCAAAAUUAGGCGAAUGGGGAGGAGAUGUUGAUUUAGUCAUGGUUUGUAUGGAUGACUUUGAGCAGGAAUCUGAUAGUAUCGAGCAGUAAUCCUCUUACAACAUAAAGCCAUUCUCAUGCCACUGACUCAGUGUAUGAUAGUAUUGAGCAGUAAUUUGAUAGUGGUCCAAGCAAAAAUUAAGUAACCGAGUGGGGUGAGAAUGAUUUCAGCUAUGCAAUUGAAAAAUGCGCUAAGUAAAGAAGAGUUGACCUUUAUGGACAUCUUGUUCGUGGGAAGCAAAUGGAAACUGAGAAUGUCUCAAUAGUGAUCUAGAAAGUUCUAAAUGAGUAUGUUGAUAUUAUGCCACAUGAACUGCCAUAGUCACUGCCUCCUCGAUGGGUUACCCAUACAAGAAUUGAUACUCUAGCGAAAAAAGUUGAAAGAACUGGAAAUUACGAGCGUGGGGACAGUUCGACGGGCUUUGUAGUCCAUAUCAAAGUGUGAAACUCGAAAAUUUCUAAUAUCUUUGAAACUUGUUAAGAUUGAUCAAGGACAAGAAGAAAUAAAAUUCAUAGGAAAAAGAAAGAUACUUGGAAAAGUUAAGAUUGUAAAUAUAGAAGAAAAGUUAUAAAAUUUGGCUAAAUGUCAAGAAAAGGCAUGAGUGGUUCAGAGGUCAUUUUGGGUAAGUUUUUGGGCAGUAAAAGGAGACCAUAGAACCUCUAAGAGAUGUUGGUUGGACGGCAAGAUGAAGCUUAAGAACCUUUAAGCUUAGGUGUUGCUAAUGGACUAGGCGGCCAAGAAAGAAGGCUAAGGCUUGAGGGUUGAAAUGAUGGCUAAGUGUAAAGAGUUAUAUUGCUAAGUGUUUGGCGUUGGAAUUGUACUAGGCGAGAGGAAGCUGGUGGGGGUGAAGAACCUCCAAAGAACAAGGUGAUGUGUGGAAUUGCUAGGCAUUGGGCUUGAAGCUCAACAAAAUAUCCUCCAAAGAGGUUAUCUAUGCGUUUAAGGUAAUAAUGGGCUAGGAGAGAAAGGAUAGAAGGUUAGCAAGGGGCAUUGAGAGUUUAAGUUUGACAAGAAAGAAGGAUCAUAGAGGUUAGGUGUUUUGUGUUUGGUGGCCAAGGUUAUGUGAGACGGUCAUGGGGUUAGGUUAGCUUUUUGGACAACUAUGUGGCAUGUUUAUAGCAAAUGGUUUAAGGAAUAAUCCAAGUGUCUUAAUCAUCGUAACAUGCAUUUUGAGGUAAAGGAGAAGUUUGAGAUGUCUUAAGGAGGUUUAAGGGUGAAUUAAACAAGGUUGAGGUGUCAAGUUAUUUACAUGCAAGGACUUCUAUAAAUAGACAGCUUCACUUAAGAGUUUCUCACAACUCACACUUGCGCAAAAUUACUCAAAUUAGUCUUGAAAGUUCAAAAAUUGUGUCUAGUUUGUGAGAUAGGGUUGUUGUUCAAUUUGGAUUCAAGAAGAUUGACAUUUGUAUCAAAAUUAGGUGAGAAGGUCAUUUUCCAGAAGAAAUUAAGCACGAUGCAUUACAAGAAGGCUAUAGAACUAGUCUUUGGAGUUUUGCUAUGAAAUUAUGAGGUAAGGAAGUUAAGACAUUUUAAAGAAAAUAUAAUUUUAAGUUAUGAUUUUUCGAAGUCGAGUCAUGUAUUUUGGACGAAAAAUGAUGUUCUGUGCAAUAUGUCAGUGUCGUGCAUGCUAGGCGAGAUGGACUUGGCAUUUUGGUCAUAGAGGUUAAUAUGUGUUAUUGUGAGGUUUGCAGCAAGGUCAUGGCGCAGCUGAGCGGUAAGCCAUGCACUUAGGCUACGCGCAUGACUUGCGAAAAGAGGUUAGUAAGCGGCAAGCAGGGCACACGACACCACGUGGACAAGGACACGCGAUGGGCACUAAUGUACGGCCAUGUGCGCGUGUUGCCCCUCAUUGCGAGGUUAGCAUGCGACGUACACCCCUUAAAGCAAAGUUAGCACGUGACAAGGCCCCAGGCCAUGCGUUGCACAGCCAACCCCAUCCUCUUUCUUAGUGAUCAUUGUUGGGCUGCUUUUUGGUUGUUUUGAGUUGUUAUGUAAUUUUUGGGAAAUUUAAGAGAAGUUUUGGAUAUUUGCAUUAUUAGAUGAUUACUUAUGGAAUAAAUAUGAAUUUUUAGAUCAAGGAGGCUUUGGAGGAAUUUUCCCAACCAAGGCUUCGUUCAAGUACUGUGAGUGGAAAAUGUUCUAUUUAAAGUGAUUUCAAAGCAUGUUUUAAGCCAUGAUUUAUGAAUGAUUUAUUUUAAAUGUUUAAGUUGUUGAAAUUUUUUGUCCUAAAACUCGUAGUUUAUAAUCAUAUUCUAUUCAAUAAAGUUGUUAUUGAGAAAUUAAAUAUUAUAAUCUUAAAUCUAAUAAAUCAAGUUCCAAAGCUAUUUUUGAAUAAACUUGAACUUUAUGUGUAAACAUAAACGUGGAUCAAGUUCGAGUAUAUAGCCUAAAUAGUCUAUAAUAUAUGAAUAAAGGUUGGGCGCCUUAUAUAGAGAGACUAUGGAUGCGGCCCACUUUGUAGUACAAAUGAGGUGAUCAUGAAUCGUUCAUGUAGAGACAUGAAAGUGGGGGCAUCCUAUGUAAAGUGUUUACAUAAGACUGAACCAUGAAUUAGUCAUUUUUACGUUAUAACACCGUUUACUGUUUAAAACUGACUAUCUCAAUUAUUGAUGACCUAGGUAACUUAGUCUUAAUCCUGAGUUAACUAUGAACUCCUGUUCACACGAGAUUAUCCUUAGAUCUGCAUAGGUGAGGGCAGCUCAUCAGCGUUGGCCCAAUAAGCCUCCCAUUUCAGGGGUAAGAUCGGGUGGAUAGCUGGGAACAUAGGUACAAGAUGGAAUUCACUCCUACCCGCUUUAGGGUUAGUAGAUAGGUUGCUCUCUUAAGCACUGAAUCCAAGUCUUGAACAAGGGGCCCCACCCUCUCAUUGGCCCGAGAGGGAUUAAGUUUAUAGGUUGAACCUUAAACCAAUUGUUCAAUAGUGGAUUAGUGGGACUUAAGGAGCAAGAUGUAAUCUUGGGGGUAAAACGGUAUUUUGACCCAGCCAAGGUUACGAGCAACCUGUGAAGGAUUAACUUACUGAUUAUGGUUUUAUCAAAUGGACACAAAUAUAUCUAUAGUGAGGGGAGUGCAACUACGGGACUUUAGUGGAAUGACCCGUUAGUUAACGAAUGUUGAUUAACUCGGUCUAAAAGAGUUUAGCUAGUUAAUCUUGAAUCAUUGGAGCCCAUGAUCUAUAGGUCCAUUAGGUUCUCCUGCUAGCUCAUAUGGAUUAAACUUAGAACAGUGUGAUGAAAUAAGUCAAAUUGUUCGAAUUGGGAGAAGAAAGAGAAACCGGCAAAUAUAGUGAUAUAGUCAUCGAUCUUCUAAUUAGAAAUAGAGCUUUAUGUUUUACAUACUAUAAGUAUGAAUGCAGAUUCAUACUAAGAAGCUCAGAAUUGAUGGAAUUGGUUAAAACUUGUAAAAAGUCAAAAUGUUGACUUUUCACUUUGAAAAGUCAAACUUUGACCGGCCUUAUAUUCAAAUGUGAUUUGAAUUUUGGAAAAAUGAAUGCGGAUUCAUGCUCGGGAGGUUGGAAUUAGUCAAGACGGACAAAAUGGUAAAAAGUCAAAAUAUUGACUUUUGACUUAGAAAAGUCAAAGUUUGACUUUUGACUAGAAAUAUCUAAUGACCAUUUUACCCUUGGACUAAGUUAGUGGGAAAAUCCAACAUUUUGUUGGAUAAUCCCACUAACUCUUAGUGGGAUAUGUGGCUAUAUGAGAUAUAGACACCUAGCCCACUAAGUUCCACUAAUUGUUAGUGGAACAUUAGGUGUUGAGAUUUGGCAAAUGAAUUGCAUGCAUUUUUGCAUGUAAUUAGGUUAUAAAUAGGGGUGUUUUCAAAUGGUUGAAAACUUUUGCUUUUUAUCAUUUUCCAUCAUCUCAACAAAGAAAAAAAAACUUCUACCUUUCAAUCCUCAUUUUAUCUCCAUUACUUUCUACACCAAAAUUGGGUCCCACAACCCGAUUCUUUGUCUAGAGGAUAGCAGUUGAGUACUAGUGGUGGUCUCGGUUAGAAUUGGUAAGGAAGUAUCAAACCUUUUUGAAAGCUUCAAAAGGUAAUAUUUCUUAAAACCCUAAUUUGAUUAGUUUAUGGUUACAUGUUAAUUGUGGCAAUUAGGGUAGAAAUUCGAUUUUUUUUCCGCUGUGCAUGACUUAGUUCUAUCAUGUGGUAUCAGAGCAUGCUUCAUUUUUACCCAAUUGCAUGUGGUGGGUUCAUAUUUAUUAGAUAAAUUUUGGUUUGAACUAAAAUGGAUAUAUUAUGAUUUUGGCUCUAGAUUAAGUAUUUUUGUUCUAAUUAUUGUAAUUAGCCUUGUUAAUGGCUUAUUUUUAUUGUUGCAAAGUGUUUGUAAUUUUUUUUUUUUAAAUAGUCAUUAGAGUUGAAGUUAGGCUGUAAUUGGUUCAACCGGAUGAGAGAAUUGAAAAAAAUGUAGAAAAGAAUGUCACAGACCCGAAAACCCGGCCUUGACCCGCCUCGCGACCCGCCAGCAGCCUGCGCCCUGCACGCCCGCCUGCGCCCG